rnacentral:lncRNA from 1 species
CCCAAUGGUAAAAUGCAGAACCCAAUUCAAACUUCAGCUUCAUCCUGUUUGCAGCAAUAUGCAAUCUUACACAGUCAACUGAACCUUGAACAUUGCAGCUACACUUUCCUCGUCUUCCUCUACCAACAAGAUCUGUUUCUGUAGUAGGUCUUGAAUCAUCUUUAACAGGCCAUACUUGUGUGCCUAACGAUUUAGAGUCACUCCCAUAAACUACACCAGUCCAUUGCGGGACUUCCACUUGGAAAAGAGGACCAACAGAAACAACCUUAUCACGAGAAUCAUCACUAAAUGGGUCAUAUUUUUUCUCUUCAGUCCCAGCUGCAUUGGCAGUUGAUUUUUUCUUUUUUCUCACAGCUGCUUUGGUAGUUGGUUUUUUCUUGUUGAUCACGAUAUCUGGUUUGCCAGUUGUUUUCUCCAUAGGACUUUUUUCUGAUUCCAUAGCGUGCAACUUAAGAGACAUAGAGAGCCUUUUACUACGUCUCAGAUUCACCCUACCUUGCUGACCAAGAGAAACAGGAUCCUCAUACUUGGCAGGAUGUAUCUUCACCAAAUGUAAAGCAUAAAGUUUCAGAAAAUUCAGUAGAUAUUUUUUGCAUAAAACUUAAAUAAAAUUUCUUCUUUUAGAUCUUGUCAACUAGUAGUUAGCAGCAAGCUGAGAGUUUGGAAUUUUAUAUAUAUUGUUUUAGGAAAGAAACCGGUAGAUUGUGAUUAUAUAUUUAUUAUGAAUGCAACCGGUAGAUUGUGAUUAUAUAUUUAUUAUGAAUGCAUAAUUAAGUACAUUGUAAUGCUAAUCAUAAAUACAAUAAAAAGAUAACUAGCCAUUCAUGUGAAAACAUUCUGGUUGAGGAUAUGAAACGCACAAAAAAUCCAAUGUGUAAAAUUCAUGUAUAAAAUCAUUAUGUGUAGUGAAAAUAUACCUUGGAUGAUGAUCCACGGUUUGGUUCUGCAUGCUUUCUGACCGACAGAACAUCUCGUGCCCUCAGCAUCUGAACAAAAAUGUCCUGGUAUCCUUUAUACUCCUUCCCCUUUGAUGGUUCUGUUAAUGGUUGAGCUGCAGGCGAUUCCCGAUUACGUUUGCGAGAAUUAAAUUCCUUCUCAGUUUCCGCACAAGAGGCGGUUAUAUCAUCCUUAACACCAGUGCCCAAUUUUUCAUCGUCGCCGCCAUGACCAUCACUGUUAACAUUUUGGAGACCAUCGCAUUUGUUAUUUUGAUUUUUAGUGUCUAAUAAAUAACCAUCACUCUUCUGGUUAACCAAAUCAAUGUGCUUUAUGAUGUUACUCGAUUCUAACGGGACAAAAUCAUCAUCUUUGUCCUUUAGAUUUGAGCAAAAAAGGUUUUGAAACUCUUUUUCUAGAUCUAUUGGCAAUGAGUUCAAAUACCCAUCAUUCCCAUUUUUUAAACUCUUCUCUUCGAAAGAUUUCCUGAGCCAACCUUCGAAAUCAUUCAGAUAUUUGUCAAAAACUAAUUUCACCGAAGCUAGAACACGAAGGUCCAAACCCAGUUCAACUAUCACAGAAUUCCACAACCCUUUUCUCGAUACCGCAUCAUACCCGCCUUUUUCCUUCACAAGGGCGAAUAAUUGAUAUAAAUCAAGCAAUUGACCCUCACCGAGCAUGACUGGCACAGGCCUCACAGUGCCUCUACUACAAUUCUCCUUUAGGUAAGCCGAAAAAAGUUGAAAAAACAAAGAUUUUUGUUUAGCCUUGUCAUUGUCAUGAUCAGAACUAUCAACACGACCCUCGACAAGACAACCGCCAUUUUUAUGAAAUUCAGUAAAAGUUUCAGCUUCAGGCCGAUCAAGGGAUGACCCGUUUGCCAUGAACUUUUGACUCUACUUCUAUACUCGAUAUGUUUUGAAUUUUAGAUCAAAAAUAAAGGUGGCAAAGAAAAACCUAGCUUGCCCUUUGGUUUAUGUUGAUCGUACAAACACAGAACCUCACAAAAAUGGCGGUGACAUCAUGGAAAUGAAGGGUUUCCUGGCAGUAUGAAGAGAUAGGUACAAUUAAUCACAAGAUCAAAGUCGAAACCUGAAAAUUACUGAUAAUUGAUGGUGGCGGUGAUGGUGCUAACUGGUGCUGCUGAAGAAUUUCGAUGCUGCAAAUGAAAAAAAUUAGUUGAAUUUGAGUUUUUAUUCAAAAGGAUAAGAAAUAUGGUGCAAAAAUAAAUGACUAAGGGGUAUUUCUCUUACCUUCAUUUCAUUCCCCUUCUUUGAAAUCCCUCCCAACAAAAUAAUUUUUGACAUUAAAAAAAAUCAAACACUUGUUGUUGUUCCUUUAUAAUGCUAAAUACUAGGGUUGUUAAUUGGGCGGGCCAAGCCGAUUAAGUCUAGUCCGAUAAAGCCCAAAUCGAUUAGGUCAAGUCAAACCUACAAUAAAAAAUGGACAUGAAUCCACUGCAGUUGAGAAACCAUACACGCUGUGGGUAAUUUCGGCCAUUGAUUUGAGAUCAGACGAUUAAGAUUACCGAUUCAUUAAAGCAUUUACAAAUCAUCUCAUACAUCAAUUUUAAAUCGGACGGUAGAAGUGAGUAAUUGUGUCACGCUGUUGCGCACCAAAUCCAUUUCCCAAAUCAAACUUAGGGGGAUGUAUUGGAUCAGAUCUUAAAAUAUAAUUUUGACAUAAAAAUUCUUCUAUAUUUUAAAAGACUAUAAAAAUAUAAUGACUUUCCUUAAAAAAAAAAAUUAAAAAAAAAAAAUAUAUAUAUAUAUAUAUAUAUAUAUAUAUAUAUAUAUAUAUAUAUAUAUAUAAUGAUUUCUAAAAUUUUGUAAUUUUUAAGAUGGGAUUUAAAAUUGGUCAAAAAGAAAGGUGGAAUUCAAUAGAUCGAAAUGGUAUAAAUUUAUAACGGUUGAAAAAAUUACUUAUAAAUUUAUAACGGUUGAAAAAAUUACUUAUAAAUUUAUAAUUUCCCAAAGGGCCCCCUUGACUUUUAUCAAAUAUAUUAAAAGUUACAAAACUAAAUGCAAAUAUAAUAAUAAAAUAAUAAUGUGCGGAUAAAGAAAAGUAUAAUCGUCCCAGUGAGAUUAGGUCAGUUGUCAACGACACUGCAUUAUAAAUGCAGGGGCAGGGGUUCGAACCCCGGACACCCCACUUUUUCAUUUAAGAGGUGAAUUUCUAGCCAUUAGGCUACUUGACAAAAAAAAAAGUAUAAUUAACACAAUUGUUUCCACACACACACAUAGUCAUUCUUAUAUUGUCGAUAAUAUAUUUUAAUGGUUAUAAAGUCUGGCCUGGUUAUGUCAGGUAUGCGAUAAUAAAGUCUGGCCUGGUUAUGUCAGGUAUGCGAUAAUCAAACGUAGGUGAAUGUAUUGGGUCAAACCUUCAAAAGAUUAUAUAAAAGUCUUAUAUAUUUUAAAAGACAAAGUAAGGUUUUGUAAUUUGAAAGAUUUAACUCGUAAAAAUUUAUAAGAUUUGAAAUGACAAUAAACAAUGAAGAUUUUUUUUGGAUAGUAAAAUGUUAUUAAGUUACUAGUCGUAUCCAGGGUUUGUGCCCUGAGCUUCCUUCUUAGAACUCUUUUCAUGUCACUUAGAAAACAAGGAACAACUCACAUUUCAUCAACAUUAGGAUAGUAACUUUUGUUGACAAAACCAAUUGAAGGAGACUUACAAGGAUAAACAUCAGGUAGCUCCUCCACUCUUGUCUUCCAGACACCUUGAUAUGGACCUGCAAUGCGUCCCAAUAAAAGUGAGUGAAACUGAAAACAACAAAGAGAAGAAGAAAAACCCACUUCUACAAUUGUGUAAAUCUGAGAUACAAUUGUGUUAUUUGAACAUCAAAAUAGAGACGUUGUAUAUGUUUCUCUUACUACUUACCUACUACAACAACUUACAAACAUUUUAAAAAUUAACACAAACCAAAUGACACCCGUAUUCGACACCAAAAUUUGAUGUCAAAAAAUUGUUUCUCUUAAAGCUAAGCAGUCAUAGAUUGAAGUACAAUUACAAGACCAGCAGCACUCAGUAGCAGUUGUUGACUGCUGAUCCAAAUAGAUAACACCCCACAUUGAAUUCAAACAUAUACAAUCUAUAGUUCUAAAGGAAGAACAUUUCAAUUGGAGCAAAGAAAAAGUUGCAAUGAAGAGAGCAGCACCAUAUCAAUUAUUUCGAGACAAAAAGGGCAAAAAUUUUGUAAUAUUACAGCCAUCAAUAUCAUAUCCAACAUUAAUUACAUCAUUAUAAGCAACAUAAGGAGUAUGCCAUUAUUUGUGUAUGUCAUCAUUUUAUUUUAUACAAUAAAUGUACACUGAUAUCAUUAUUAUAAAGCAGUGCUGAUCAAUACAUAUAAGCAAUACAGUGCAAACAGGUCAUUCAGCGUACUUUUUAUCCAAACGAAAAAUGAAGCAAGAAAGACUUUGAUGAGUUAUACCACAAAACUGAGAAAGGGUUAUAAAAAUGUUCAUUGAAGAGAGAAUCAGGGUAGAAUCUCAUCUUAGACUGAUAAAAGCAAGAUUGUGAAGAGUAGACCAGAUGAAGAAUAAUCCAAUAGUUAGAGGUCAAGUCAUGAAGAGGGAUUUAGAGGUAGAUGAUCUAUAUUUGGACCUAAUACAUGACAGGACUAUAGGCAUCAAUUUAUACAUAUAAACGACCCGACCUAGUAGGAAAAAGAUUGGUUGUUGUUUUUUCUUCACCAUUCGUGAUUGCUUUUUGACAAAUGAAUCAAUGUUGGUUGCCAUAAAUUAUAGGCAGGUCUACAUCAUUAAAUUGAGAAAUCUAAUUUCCCAUUCCCAACCCAAAAAGAAAACAUUAACGUUUUAGCUCCCAAUAUGAAUACAAACCCAAGAGAUUAUAGCACACAAAACUACGAUAAUUGUGUGGGUGCUGCUGAUCUGUGUGUUGAGUUUAGCAAUUUAUAAUCUGAUGUCAAAACAUAAUUGAAUGUAAUCACAUGUGUCAGUGUCAGUGUCGAUGUUGGACAGUAGACACACCUUCAAUUAGAAGUGUUAAUGCUAUACAGGUGAAAAACCCAAUUGAGGAAGUGUUAAAGUGUAUGUGCUAAACACAUUUCGACAUCAUAAUUUAGAUGUCAAACAAAAAAAUAAUUUUUGUUAGAGUUAACCAACCAGUCAUAGAUCCUCCUAAUAAGAUUAAUCUUCAUUGAGGAAAAUGGGCAAACAUUCAAUGAUGAAACAAAACGGGAAACUUACAGUGUUUAGGUCGAUGGAAUUCAACAAAGAACUCUUGUAUGGCAUCAUUAAUCAUUUCCACCUUGUAAUCACUCAUCAUCCUGAUUCACAAUAAAAAGAUUAGAAGGUUCAGAGGAAGAGGAAGGAAAGACAACAAAAUUCCAAAAAAAAAACUCUUCGAAAUCAGAAACAAAAUUAAAUUAAUUAAUCAAUUGAUGGAUCGUAUGAAUGGUGGAUUAAUGGAUUAAAUUGUCAUCCAUAGUUUUACGGUGUUUACUUUUCAAAUACAAUAUUAAUAAAAAAUUUCUUUUUAUAACUCUAAUUAAUAAUAAUUUCAUCACUCUCAAUUCAAUAUAUUUCACUUUGCAUUUAUGAUAAUGGAAAAUGCAUCAAUACUUAACAAAAACACUUAAAAUUAUUUUUCUCUCACCUUCAUUUAUACAUUUUUCUUAAUAUGUGUGAAAUGAGAGCUUUUGACUCAGUUAAGCUGAGACGGAGGGAAUAUUUUCUUUUUUAUGAAAUAUAUAGAUAUAUCUUUUUCUUUUAGAGGAUAAAUAUACCUUGUAAUUUUAGAAUUGUAUUUUAUUUUAAACUAGCUAAACGUGUCUGAUUUUCUGCUCUUUUAAUUGGUUAAAGUUUGAAAAUUAUAAACGGUUGUUUUUUUAUGAAACUUUGAUCUUGAUUAAAACUAAGAGUGUAAAUGUUUGUUAUUUUCAACUUAUAACAAAGCAAACUAUUUAUGAUAUCUAUUUCAAUGACACCAACAAUAUAAUAAAAAAAUAUAAUCUAAGGGUGUAUUGGAUUAGGAUCUUAAAAGAUAAUUUUUGUUUAAAAAAGUCUUAGGAUUUUAAAAGACUUUGCAGAAUUGAGAGAGAGAGAGAGAGAGAGAGAGAGAGAGAGAGAGAGNNNNNNNNNNNNNNNNNNNNNNNNNNNNNNNNNNNNNNNNNNNNNNNNNNNNNNNNNNNNNNNNNNNNNNNNNNNNNNNNNNNNNNNNNNNNNNNNNNNNNNNNNNNNNNNNNNNNNNNNNNNNNNNNNNNNNNNNNNNNNNNNNNNNNNNNNNNNNNNNNNNNNNNNNNNNNNNNNNNNNNNNNNNNNNNNNNNNNNNNNNNNNNNNNNNNNNNNNNNNNNNNNNNNNNNNNNNNNNNNNNNNNNNNNNNNNNNNNNNNNNNNNNNNNNNNNNNNNNNNNNNNNNNNNNNNNNNNNNNNNNNNNNNNNNNNNNNNNNNNNNNNNNNNNNNNNNNNNNNNNNNNNNNNNNNNNNNNNNNNNNNNNNNNGAGAGAGAGAGAGAGAGAGAGAGAGAGAGAGAGAAAAAGAGGAAUAUUUUGGAUUGGGACAAAGUGAGAUGUAUAAUAAAAAAAUAUAAUCUAAGGGUGUAUUGGAUUAGGAUCUUAAAAGAUAAGAGUUAGAGAAAGAGGUCUUAGGAUUUUAAAAGACUUUGCAGAAUUGAGAGAGAGAGAGAGAGAGAGAGAGAGAGAGAGAGAGAGUAAAAUCUUAAAAGAAAAAACAAUCAAAUCUCAUGUUUUCAUGAAAGACUUUUUUAUGCUAAAAUUUCACUAGAAAAUCUCACAAAAUCCAUCAAAAUCCGAUUUAUUAAACAAUCCUUCAAAAUUUGAAUGAUUUUGAAUACCACAAGACUUCUUUUAAGUGAUGAAGAGUCUUGAUUGAAUGCCACAAGAUUCUUGUUUAAUGAUAAAGAGUCUUGAUUGAAUACCAGAAGAUUUUUUUUAAAGUUGAAAAGAGUCUUGAUUGAAUACAACAUAACUUUUUCAUGAUAAAAAAGUUUUUUAAAAUCUCAUAGAAUCAUAAUCCAAUACAUCCCCCUAAAUCCUUUUUUUUAACGGCACCACUAAAAAUCUUUAUUAUAGGAAAAUUUGUUUAUAUGUAUAAUUGUGAUAAUGAAAAAGUAAGUAUAAAUAUACUCACCUAGUUUGUUACAUUUUUUUUUGGUCAAAUGCCUUUUUUUUUUUAUUUUAAACGAUUUGGUCAAGUAGCCUAGUGGUUAGAGCUCACACAAUUUAAUUGUGGAGAAGUGGAGUGACCGGGGUUCGAACCCCGGCUCCUGCAUAUAUAUAUAUAUAUAUAUAUCGUGUUUGUUACAUUGUUUUUAAUAUUUAAAUUUAUUCUUAUCUAUUUAAUACAUGUGUUAUUUGUAUUGAAAAAGAGGAUAUUUUUAUAAGGAGAAAAAGUCAGUCCAAAACAACCGAAAUGAGUUAUUUCUUUAUAUAUAGUAGGGUUAAUUAUGUUUUUGGUCCCUAUAAAUAUGUCAACGUUUUGUUUUAGUCUCUCUAAAAAUUUUCUACAACUUUUAGUACCUAUAAAAUUUUCAAUCACUACUUUUGGUCCCUAAUUUUAAGUAAAAUUUUAUAUUUUUUAAUGAAAUUGUGCAAAAUGUAUAGAAUAUUGUAAAAAUCACUCCCCAAAAAAUUAGAAUUUUUUUAACAAAACAUGAAUUAAAUAUGAAUUUUUUAUUGUCAAAAAUAUAAAAAUUAAUAUUAGAUUCAUGUCUUAGUAAAAAAUUCUAAUUUUUUUUUGGAGAGAUCCUUAUAAUAUAUUAUGCAUUUUUCUGCAAAAUUUUAUUUAAAAAUAUGAAUUCUACAUAUGAGUUUACUUUAAAGGAGGGACUAAAAGUAAUGAUUGAAAAUUUUAUAGCGACUAAAAGUUGAAGGAAAAUUUUAGAAGGAUUAAAAUGAAAAAUUGGUAUAUUUAUAGGGACCAAAAAUAUAUUUAACAUAGAUAAAUAUGAAUGUGUAUAUUAGUAAGUGGGAAUAUUAGGAUUCAUCCUUGCAAGGUGAGUUCUCUCUAUAUUCAACGGGACAGGUAAGCGAGGGUAAGCAGGCACUGUUCGAAGGAGUUAAUUAAUCUCUGAAUCUUACCAAAGAGGUUAUCUUAUGAAAUAUUUUAACUUAUAACAUUAAAAUAAGAAAAUAAUAGUUUUUUUUUAGGAAAAAAAUAAGAAAAUAAUAGUACAUAACAAGAAAAAUUAUCCUUUCUAUAUAUAUAUAUAUAUAUAUAUGUGACUAUGUCUGUCCGCUCUUUUUACCGCACUAACGUAUGUGUGUAUAUUUAUUUUUUGAACAAGCCAAAAAGAAAUAAAAUAAUCACCAAGAGGAGUUCAUCGCAGAAGGCGUGCAGAGAUAAACGCUUCUCAAAAGAAUACAAGGUCCAGUUGUAUGUUGCCUAACAGCUAGCAAACACAAAAAAAGAAGGAAAAACACAUUACACCAUAACACCCAUACAAAUUAAAGGGUGCCACCACCGGUCAUUAUAACUGAAAGCGGAAGUUAGCCUAUUAGCCUUUAACCAAGUAAAAGACACAAACUUUACAUUGUCAAAAAUUUGUUCCAAGUCUUGUAUUUUGUCUUCGAAGAUCCUGUUGUUUCUUUCAUUCCAAACGAUCCAGUCACAAGCGUGUCGGAUCACAUUAAAAAAAGAACGAGUAAAUCGCGGUAACCCCGCCAUAUAACUAUACUGCUGAAGAUGAAUUCUGAUAGAGUCUGGAGAGAUGAAAUAACGUGUGUGUAUUUUAUUAUGUUUGUUUGUAUAAUUUUGAUUGUAAUUUUUAAACUAUUAAAUAUUAAUGAAAAUUAUUCGUACAUCGACUUAUCUACAAAUUAUAUAUUGUCAAAACAUAUAAUGAAAUUAUUUAUCAACUUGACGUAUUUUGAUUUGUUUGUAUAUAAAAUAAAAAUAAAAAUAAAAUAACGAUAAUUUUCUUAUUGAUUAUAUUUAUAGUAACAUAUAAUUGACCUAAUUUGUUACACUUAAAACAGGACAUAUAUUCAUAUCGUGUUUGUUACUUGAAAUAUUUUGUGUGUAACAAAAAAAAUUGUGUUUGUUACACUUUUUAAUAUUUAAAUUCACUCUCAUCCAUUAUUUUUUUAAAUGAUAAAGAAAAAAUCGAACAUAUAAAAUUUAUUACAUUUUGUUUUAAUAUUUGAAUUUACUUUUAUCUAUUUGUUAUAUCUAUUAUCUGUAUUGAAAGUUGAAGGUAAUUUCGGAAGAAAAAAACCAAUAGAUAACAUACUACAGUAUAAUACAAGUUACAUAUAUUUAGUUAUUUUUUUCCCUUAAAAAAAAUUAUAUUUUUUGGAAGGGUAGUUACGAAUAACGGUUUUUUCUCAACAAAAAACAAGAAAAGCAAAUAACAACUGAUGCUAUUUUCCUCCCAGUUUCCUUUAUCGCAUAACAAACUGUCUCUAUAUAUAAACAUAAACCUUAAGCCAUAAGAAAGAACACACUCACUUUCACAAGUGUUUUGUUUCAAUUUUCUUUUCAAGAGUUUUUCGAUAAUCAAAUCAAAAUCAAAAAAUGUACAGGGUAGCAAAAGCAUCCGAGUACCUGGUGAUAACCGGAGCUGGAAUCGAAGACAUCAAACUUGCAAAGAAAUCAUGGGUUUUCCCUGGUCAAUCUUGCACCGUCUUCGACCUCUCACCGGUGAACUAUACCUUCGAAGUUCAAGCCAUGAGUGCUGAAAAACUGCCUUUCGUUCUUCCCGCUGUCUUCACAAUUGGUCCUCGUGUUGAUGAUCAGGAAAGCCUCCUCAAAUACGCUAAACUGAUUUCCCCUCAUGAUAAACUCUCGAAUCAUGUCAAGGAACUCGUUCAAGGAAUCAUUGAAGGGGAGACACGUGUCCUCGCUGCUUCGAUGACCAUGGAAGAGGUUUUCAGAGGAACAAAAGAGUUUAAACAAGAAGUAUUCGAGAAAGUUCAACUCGAACUAAACCAAUUCGGGUUAUUGAUUUACAAUGCGAAUGUUAAGCAAUUGGUGGAUGUGCCUGGUCAUGAAUAUUUCUCCUAUUUAGGGCAAAAGACGCAAAUGGAAGCAGCGAAUCAAGCUAGGGUUGAAGUGUCAGAAGCUAAGAUGAAAGGUGAAGUUGGCUCAAAAUCUAGGGAAGGACAAACACUGCAGAAUGCAGCAAAAAUUAACGCGGAGACGAAAAUUAUUGCUAUGCAGAGGGCUGGAGAGAGUGACAAGGAGGGAUUUAGAGUUAGGACUGAAGUGAAGGUUUUUGAGAAUCAAAGAGAGGCUGAAGUGGCUGAGUCUAAUUCUGAGUUGGCGAAGAAGAAAGCGGCUUGGACUAAGGCGGCUCAAGUGGCUGAAGUCGAAGCUGCUAAAGCUGUGGCUCUAAGGGAAGCUGAGUUGCAGGGUGAGGUUGAGAGGAUGAAUGCUUUGACUACUACUGAGAAGCUUAAAGCUGAUUUACUUAGCAAAGCUAGUGUUCAGUAUGAAACCAAGGUUAGUCCAUGCAAAUAUAACCCCUUCUUUCAUUUAUUAGUUAUUAUUAUUAUUCAAAUUGGUUUACUAGCAACAAUAUUAAUACUUCAAUAUCUUUUGGUAGAAAAUAAGUCACUGUAGUUCAAGUAUUUUGGCAUACAUGAAUCUAUCAUUUGCUAAAUUUAUGUAUCAUUAUAAAACUAAAUCAUACGGUAUGUUCAUAUAAUAUUUGUUUUAUGACAAUUUUGUUCUAAAUUAAUUUUGUUAGGAAUGUGCCAAAUCUAAAUCGUGGAUCCCUUCGCUUGCUAUUAUUUUGUGUACUUUUGGUCAAGUUUGUUGAGUUAGCAAAUGCUAUGUUUUGUUUGGAUUAAAAAAAAAAUAUGAUUGACAUAUGGUAUGUAAAUGGCAAAUAGAUUGAAGAAUAUGGAAUUAUUACUACCAACCAAACCUUGUCAAUUUUUUUAACAUGAAACAGUUAUUUAAAAGUAAAACAUAACAAAGUAGGUUGUAUGCUAGAUGAAUGAUUUUCAAUGUUUAUUUUUUAAGUACUGGUUGAAAUUUUGGAUGGUUUAGGUACAAGAGGCUAACUGGGAAUUAUACAAGAAACAAAAAGAAUCAGAAGCAAUUCUGUAUGAGAAGAAGGCAGAGGCAGAAGCACAGAAAGCAUUGGCAGAUGCAACAUUUUAUGCGCGCAAGCAAGCAGCUGAAGCAGAGCUAUACGCAAAGAAAAAAGAGGCAGAAGGGAUUGUGACACUUGGGAAUGCUCAAGGAGUGUAUGUAAGUACACUUCUCAAUGCACUUGGAAACGACUACACAGCUCUAAGGGAUUACUUGAUGAUAAAUGGUGGCAUGUUUCAAGAGAUGGCUAAGAUCAAUGCUGAGGCAGUACAUGGACUUGAACCUAAGAUUAGUAUUUGGACUAAUGGAGGCGGAAUAACGGAAGGUUCUAUGGGCAUGAAAGAGGUUGCUGGUGUUUACAAGAUGCUGCCACCUCUGUUUAAGACUGUCCAUGAGCAAACAGGCAUGUUGCCUCCUGCUUGGAUGGGAACCUUAUCCGACAAAAGCUCUUAAUUAGGAGGAUGCAAGUAUUAGGUUUAUAGUAGUAAUACCUUUUAUUUUGGUAAUUUAGCAGUAGUACUUUUUAUUCUGUGAUACAUGUGUCUGAUUCACUAGUCUUUUUCAUAUGCAUGGUAUUUUAUGAAUGGAUUUUUAUAAUGAUUUAACUUGCCAUAAGUUUGCUAAUUUUUCAUGCAUGGUACAAAAGUAAUGUAUUUUUCAUGCUUGGAAAUGAAUGGAAUUUUCCAUGCUUGAUACUGUCAUAUUUUGGUAAUUUAGUAGUUAUAAGUUCAAAAUCUUAUAUUAUAUGCUAAUUUAAUUUACAAUUUUACAUGCUUGGUAUUUUAUGAAUGGAAUUUUUGCAAUAACAACUAAGCUCAUGAAAAGGACUGACUAACAUUACAUUGUGGUUUUUUCUUAUUUGGAAAUAUAUAUGCAUACUCAUAAACAGGAGCUAUUAUUUCUAUUUUAUUAUCAUGUUUCGAAGAGUUAUAUUAUAUAAACAUUAAAAUAUAGACAACAUAAUCCCCGUGAGCUUAGCUCAGUUGGUAGGGAUAUUGCAUAUUAUAUGCAGGAGUCGGGGUUCGAACCCCGGACACUCCACUUCUCCACAAUUAAAUUGUGUGAGCUCUAGCCACUAGGCUACUUGACCAAAAAAAAAAAAAAAAAUAUAGACAACAUAUAAAUUAAUUGCCCAUUCUUGCCUCUUCUGAGUCUGACGCUCCAUCAUAAUAUCACACUUCUCGACAACAACAUCCCAAAUCUUUACUUGAUUGUCAUUGGCACUUGCAUAGGCAUGACAAUGGGGUGGGGUGGGGACGAGUAUUACCUUCUCCGUACCCAUAUCCGAUUUUUAUAUACUUACCCGUUACCCUACCCAUACCCAACGGGGAUGAGAAAUUGAAUCUCAUCCCCGUACCCGAUGGGUUCGGGUAUCCCCGCCCCAUCCCCGCAUUGAAUAAUUGUUUUUAAUAAAAAAAAUAAAAGUUUUUUCAUUCCCAAGAGCAACGUUGUAAUACAAUUGCACAAGUAAGAGAGACACCACACUCUUACCCAAAACCUUAAGACAAUGAGUUUAUGGGUCCUCUUACUUAUAAGGUGUUCAACCUUUACUAUUUUAUCUGAUGUAGGACAUAUAACUCACACUUGCAAACCAAUAAUAGGUACCAAAUUCAUGCUAUUCUUUUUUUAAUAACUCGGUAUGGCUGUCAUUGUUGUAAAAGACCAUCUUCCUUGUAAUAGACUAGAAAAAAUAGGAGGCUGUGGAUUAGAAUUUCUCAACAAACCCACUGAAUAACACCGCAUCGCCUUUUGAAAGUUGGAAUUGUUGAUUUGGUGUUUUUACUUUGCACUGUCUAAACAAAUGAAUAAUGUGGGGUGCGGUUAUGGUGCAUAAGGAAAUUCUUAUGCACCCUGCAUAAAUCCAGAAAUGGUUUUGGAGUACAACUCACAGAAACCAUUUCCACGGCAAAAUGGUUUUGGCAUAAUUUUAUGCAGGGUGCUGGAAACCAUUAAGUACAUAAAAUGAUUUUGAAAAACAACUCACAGAAACAAUUUCUAGAUUUAAGCAGGGUGCAUAAGGAUUUCCUUAUGCACCAUAACCACGCCCGCAGCGGUGGUAGGAUGCAAAUACUGCAUAAACUACUGUCCAACAGCGCACGUUAAAAACAGAUUAAAAUGGGGAAAUACGGGAAUGAUUAUGUGCAAUAUUGGUGCGGCUUUUGUUGCGAAUAAAGUUGGAAAAGGUAUGUUCCUAGGAAGGAGAAGCAUUGGGGCCUCUACUCGCCAAUGGAUGGAAGAGAUUGUUCCCGACAAUGUAGCGUUUGAAUUAGAUUCAAAAUUGGUGGUUGAUAUCUUCAAUAAUCCUAUGAACGGUCUCUCUUAUUUGGUUUUAUUAUUAAAGAUUGUAUUUUAUCUUCAAAUGUUAGUUGUCCAAACUCAUUAGUUGAGUUUACGAGUAGCUCAUGAGUUAGCUAGAGCGGCUACAUGAACAUCUAUGGCUAGCUCUCAUGUUUUUAACAUUAUCCAGGCAUUUAUUGAACAGACUAUUGCAAAUGAUAUGACAGAAGCUUAUUUCCUUCAAAAAGAAUUAGUUCAUUAUAGCACCAACGACUUCAUCCACAUUUUAUCAAGCCUUUUUCAACUUCUCUUUUCCAGAAACUUGUCUUUUAACAGGACUAAACAUGGAUAGUUCACUUUAUAGAUCCUCUCAACAAGGUAUAUAUAUACUUCCAAUGAUGCUAAGAGGAAGAAAUGAAGCAGUAAAGAUACAAUAGGGGAGUGGACUUAGAUUGUUGAACCCAUUGAUAAAGAAAACGAAUUUAGAGAGAAUCAAAAGAAAGGAACAUGAGAGAAAAGUGAAGAUAAAUUUGUUGUGGAAAUUAACUAACAAGUUGGUUCAAUAAACUUUAAUGCUAAAACUUCAUUAUAAUAAAGGAAAAGAAAUGACAAUGACCCUAAUCCUGGUGGUUGAGUGAGUGGUCAUUAGUUGACCAUAAAAGAGAGAAUAGCUAAAUUUUGAAGUCACACAUCGUUAAAUCAAAAGAGAAGUACAACAAGUGUCCAAUAUAAAGUCCAAAGCAAACUUCCACUGAAUCCACUCGAGAAUCAUCUAUUUUUUAUGAUUUAUGAUAGCUCCUUUUUUAUUUCCACAAAAUGUAAGGACUAAAAUCAUAUUUAACCCUUAAAAUAUUAUAUAAUCAAUAUGAAUCAACUAUUUAUCGCUACAAACAGAAGUGGCGGAGUGGUUCUUAGUGCUUGUUUAGUUUGUGACUACCUAUGCGCCUGUUCGAUCCACAAUAGCGCCAGUUUUCAAAGUUUUGAUAUAUAUAAUAAUUGUAGCCGUCAUGACAUUAUAAUGCUUCAUUGAAGCGGACCCUAGUUUGUGGCGGGGCUAGGUAUUUGGCUAGUCCAGAACAUAAGUCAUCGGUUCGAGGUGUUCGAAGUGAUGACUUCAAAUGAUGAUGAGUAAAAAAGGGGAUGUCGGUGGGGAUGUCAGUCUAACUGUGUUAGAAGCGACCUGAAGAAGAUCGUUGUUAUAUUUUGAGUUCGACUUGAAGAAUACAUUGCAAAAUAUGUCAUGUCUACUCAAUACCAAGUUGGAUAAUGUUUGCUGGAAACCCCAUUCUACGGUCUCACCCUGUCUCCUUGUUUAGUUGCUUGAAGGGUGUAAAUGUAGUCUCAGUCUGUGGUAUAAAAUAGUGUAUAUGGUGUCCACCCUCUCUCCUAGUUACAUGGAGAAAUUACAAUUUGUACAAGUGCUCAAUGUAUACAUAAGAUGUAUCACUCUAAAUUUCCUUUGUUGGCAUUAAGGGUAAAGAUUGUAGGAAAGAAAUAAAGAUAUUAGUUAAUGUGUCUUUAUAGCUAUAAUUGAUUGUUGGUUUAGUUGACUUCUUGACUUUUAUAACGUAAGCUUCUAUGUAGUGGUGACAAUAUUCUAUCCAUUCUAUAGUGAAAUCAUUGCUAUGUGGUUGUUUGGGUCCGUCUUUUCUGCGGUUAAUUUGGUUUUUGUGAGGCUUUGUUGCAAUUCUGCAAGUAUAAAACAAGCAGGAAUACUAUCAUUUUUGCUGCCAGCAAGUACUCUAGCAAAAUCAUGUAAUAAAACACCAAUCUACCAAAAUCAAGAUAUGUUCCCCCCACUAUGUUUUGAACGAUCCGCUGAGUACAUAUAUUAUUAGUAUUGGAGUAAACAACCAUUUUGGUCCUUAAAUUUGUGAGACAAUGUCAUUAUGUAUAAAAAAUGCCAACAAAUAAAACCCCCGAUUUUACAUUGCUAAUUAAAAGAAGAAGAUAUUAGAGCUUAUAAGGAAAUGCAAAUGUGGGAAUCUGCAUAUCAUGACUCAAACGUGUAGCUAUUUAGCAAUUAUUUUGGUCAGUAUCUAAGGUCCUAUAUUGAGGUUAGACUAUUAUUUUUCCUAUCCAUUCUAUACAUAAAUCAUUGCUCAAUUCUGCAUUUGUUCUCUUUUAUGCAGAAUCUACUAAAGCUUUGGUGCAAAUCUGCAAGAAUGAAACAAUCAGGAAAUAAAAAGAUCCAUGUUUUUUAGGAAAAACAAAUUCAUAGGAAAUAAAAGAAAGAAGUUAGCUGACAGAAAAAGGUUUCACAAUCUUCCAAAUUCAUUCCUAGUGGUUGCAUGCUCCUCAUCAGUUGAAUAUGUAUCUUACACUAAGAAAAACGAAUUCAGAGGAAUAGAAGAAAGAAGGUAAGUGGUAGAAUUUGUCUCUUCGGAAUUGGUCCGCUCCACAUUGGCAAACAUUUCUAGAAUUGUUGCUAAUCUAUCUUUCCUUGCCAUAUUAUAGCUUCCUCGAUGAUAAACAAUGUCACUAUGAAUAUGUAUCUUAUCAGUUGAAUAUGUAUCUUACACUAAGAAAAACGAAUUCAGAGGAAUAGAAGAAAGAAGGUAAGUGGUAGAAUUUGUCUCUUCGGAAUUGGUCCGCUCCACAUUGGCAAACAUUUCUAGAAUUGUUGCUAAUCUAUCUUUCCUUGCCAUAUUAUAGCUUCCUCGAUGAUAAACAAUGUCACUAUGAGACAUCAUUGUACCUUGAAAGGUAACUUACAUACUUCCAUACCUCAUUGAUGAUAGUAGGAAGAAAUAAACAGUAGGGGGUGGUCAUAGGUUCCUUAUGAAAAAAAUAUUGACAAUGAUUUGGCGAUGAAACUUAUUGAUCAAAUGGCAAAAACUUACUUGUGCAUGAUGGAAAAUGUGUCUCAUUUGUGCACUAUAGACUUGACCUUGUUUUUUUUUAAGUAAAGUCUGACUAAAAAUUGUUCACUAAGGAAUCAAACUCAGGUUCUUCUGAAUAAUUGCAUUAAGAAAACCGAAUUCAUAUGAAUUGAAGAAUGAAGGUAAAUGGUAGAAAAAGGUGAAAAUGAAAUGAAAUUGACCCAAAUCCCAUUGGUUGAGUACUCCUCAUUAGUUCACCAUAUUGUUCUACUUUCUCUUCUCUCUCAAGUUUUUUCUACGAUGCCAGAGAGAGUUUAUAUAGUAUUGUUUUCUCACUGCUACCUUCUUUUGUCAUUAAAUUAUUAUAUUAUUGUUGCGUUUGUGUUCCUUUCGUUAGCUUUGUUGAGUAAUGUUAUUAGAAGGUUGUAUGUAUAGAAUCCAUAUGGGAAGGUUGAAUGAACCUUUGUUCGUUUCUUCAUUUUUGUCACAAAUAAUAGAGAUGGUUAAGUCUUGUUGUUGUUUUAGUACUGGCAAAUAAACUAUUGUUAUUGUUCAUUAUUUUGCAUACAAUUUCCCUUUUCUUUUGAAGUGUAUUUCUUUUUGUUUGUCUUCAGUUGUAGGACAAUGACUUUGACAUAAGAUUGUAAUCAUUAACUCUGAAUAGUAAAGGUAGAAGAAGAUGGAAAAUGCAAUCUUAUGGAUUCAAAAGUUUCAUUGCUUGACUUGUGCAGUGACAAGGAAGAAUCUUCAAGGGUUUAUUUCUUCGCCAUGUUAAUGGACUUGACAAUAGGGUUCCAAACCAUAUGGUGAGCGUGGACGAGAAACCAUAUUGUUCAUUAUUGUGCAGAUUGAUUGACUUAGUGGGUCAAUUUACUUGGCACAAGAGUGUUCUAAGUUAAGUAGUUGAUUUGUUUAAAUUUCAUUAACCUUCGAUUUGUAUUAUAAAAAUAUAAUUUAAGAAAAAAUUCAUUGAAAAAUUGGUCUUUAAUCCAUUUGUUUUAAUUUUUUGACCAAAAUGUCACUACAACUUUCAAAAAAUAAUCAUUAAAAGCCAGUUUUCCAAAAUGCACUGAAAUUAGGUUAAAAAAUAAUCUAAUUUUAACAUAAAAUUGGUUUGAAACAAAUUAAAUUGAAUUAAACAGGUGGUUUGAAGUUAUCAACAGAUUCUGAACCUAUUUUGGACUGAUUGACACUAGUUAGAGAAAUUAAUCGGUUUUUAAGAAACUUAUCAUAUGAUUUAAUAAAUGACGUCAAUGACUCAUUUCAAUUAUAAGUUGUCCCAUGUUUGUCCAAAUAAAUCACAUGUUUUGAGAUCAAAUUAUAGGCGGAGAGGAUGCUUAGAUUGGUAUACCAAAGUGUAGGCUCUAAUAAAGCAUUUCAACAAACUUAUGAGAUGCAUUCCUAAAACAAUCUACUCACAAAAACAACCAACCAAGAGAAAAGAGAAUAUCAACAAACAACAACGCUAAACAUUUAACCUACAAAUGGUGGCUCUAAUAGAUGUCAAGAGCUGUUGAAAGCGCUCCGACUAAACGGCUAGUUUACAGCACAAAUGCUGUCCUGAAGUGAAAACAAAGUUUUGAACCACAUAGUUGUUGUCCAAAGGGGAGUUUGGCAGCGCGUCCAAGGAGCACGCAAUAAACUGCCAUUUAGCACCAGAACCGCGCCAAACAAAAUUAAUAGCAGCUUCUACAAGUUCUUUCUCAAAUGGCUUAUCACACUGUCUUGUCUACUUAAAAUCAAAGUAUUACUUGUUCUCUGAACACUCCUUGAAUUCAAUUGUUGGACGCUUGAUAGCUUUCCUCCCGAAACCAUCACCAAAAGAUCCAAAUUCGAUUUCGUCAUCAUCACUGUCAACAGUCUCCGAAGUCACUCGAUUCUGAUAACUUCUUAGUUGAAUAAGAUAUACAUUGAAGUAAUAACUCACCAUGUCUUUUCUUGUCCUCUUUUGAAAGUAACUGGAUGGAUUGUUCCAAAAAGAAUUGUUUUGGGAGGGGAUUUUUAGACUCAUUAUAUCCUUAAAUCUCUUUUCUUCAUCACCUGUCCAUUGAAGUGAAUGGGUCAUAUUUUUUCUCUUCCGUCACAGCUGCAUUGGCAGUUGAUUUUUUCUUCUUGAUCACGACAUCUGGUUUGCCAGUUGUUUUCUCCAUAGGACUUUUUUCUGAUUUCAUACCGUGCAACUUAAAGAGACAUAGACAGCCUUUUACUACGUCUAAAAUUCACCGUACCUUGGUGACCAAGAGAAACAGGAUCCUCAUGCUUGGCAGGAUGCAUCUUCCCCAUCUGUAAAGCAUAAAGUUUCAGAAAAUUCAGUAGAUAUUUUUUGUAUAACACUUGAAUAAAAUUUCUUCUUUUAGAUCUUGUCAACUAGUAGUUAGCAGGAAGCUGAGAGUUUGGAAUUUUAUAUAUAUUUUAGGAAAGAAACCUGUAGAUUGUGAUUAUAUAUUUAUUAUGAAUGCAGAAUUAAGUACAUUGUAAUGCUAAUCAUAAAUACAAUAAAAACAUAACUAGCCAUUCAUGUGAAAACAUUCUGGUUCAGGAUAUGAUCCACAGUUUGGUUCUGCAUGCUUUCUGACCGACACAACAUCUCAUGCCCUCAGCGUCUGAACAAAAAUGUCCUGGCCUCCUUUAUACUCCUUCCCCUUUGAUGGUUCUGUUAAUGGUUGUGCUACAGGCGAUUCCCGUUUACGUUUGCGAAAAUAAAAUUCUUUCUCAGUUUCCGCACAAGAGGCGGUUAUAUCAUAUCCUUAACACCAGUGCCCAAUUUUUCAUCGUCGCCGCCAUUACCAUCACCGUUAACAUUUUGGACACCGUCACAUUUGUUAUUUUGGAUUUUAGUGUCCGAUAAAUAACCAUCACUCUUGUGGUUAACCAAAUCAAUGUGCUUUAUGAUGUUACUCGAUUCUAACGGGACAAAAUCAUCAUCUUUGUCCUUUAGAUUUGAGCAUAAAAUUUUUUGAAACUCUUUUUCUAGAUCUAUUGGCAAUGAGUUCAAAUACCCAUCAUUCCCAUUUUUUGAACUCUUCUCUUCGUAAGAUUUCCUGAGCCAACCUUCGAAAUCAUUUAGAUAUUUGUCAAAACCUAAUUUCACCGAAGCUAGAACACGAAGGUCCAAACCCAGUUCAACUAUCACAGAAUUCCACAACCCUUUUCUCGAUACCGCAUCAUACCCACCUUUUUCCUUCACCUUUUUCCUCACCGAGCAUGACCGGCACAGGCCUCGCAUUGCCUCUACUACAAUUCUCCUUUAGGUAAACCAAAAAAAGUUGACAAAACAAAGAUUUUUGUUUAGCCUUGUCAUUGUCAUGAUCAGCACUAUCAAGAAUGAAACAAGCAGGAAUACCAUCAGUUUUUCUGUCAGAAAGUAACUGGCAAAAUCACGAACAUUAAUUUACUAAUUUGUUGCACUAAUGCUAUUUGGUUUUUAUAUUAAGAUUACCAUAUCUUACAAGAUCAGCUUGUGUGGUGAGGGGUUCAAGUGCAACUUUUAUAAAAAUAGUUCCAUGCGUUAUAUCUUUUUACUGUAGGACUUGUUUUUCUCAUACACACGCACGCUAUUGAGCUAUAUAAGUUGAUAAUAUAUGGUGGUUGACUCAAAUAGAUAAAACUUUAAUAGGAAUGGAGUUAGUUUGUUGUUAAAGUGUGUCGCAAUCAAGAUCACAGUUGUUCCAUAUGUAAUAAGCUAUUAAGCUUUACAAUGAAUUUAAUAAAACACUAAUUAAAUACAUUAACUACAACUGAUACUAAUAGAGUAUCAACCCGAUAUAGAAUUGGUACAGCAAUCUAGCUAUUUCAAUGUGUUUUAGGCAUUAAUGAAAAUUUGGAUUCUUUUAAUGUUGAACAGCAAUCUGAUUGUCGCAGUGUGCGAAAUAAGUUUAGGAAUAUUCAUUCCUAACUAGUGCAAAUAUAUUGUAACACAGUUAAUCGAUCUCGGUCGUUGAUUCAAAUUGGAUGGUUGAGAACGGUUAUUGGUCCACGCAGUUACAUCACCAAAUUCAAUUCUGUGAAAAUAUACUAUAACCAUUGGAUUUCAGAAUUUAUAUCAAUCUUGAAAUGAUACUUUAUUUUUGCUGGAGCAUGACAUCCAUCCAACCUAUAUGGAGGAUAAGAAAACAAUUGGAUGCUUCAAAUAUUUCCAAAUUAUACUAAAAUAUAGGCAUGGACAGUAUCAUUUUUAUAUGUAAAGGAGUAAUAAUCAAGUGUUUCUAAAAUAAAAUAAAAAAAACAAGUAAUAUGGUAGGAACUAAUUAAAUUUAUUCAUCCAUACGAGUUUCACACUUCCACCCUUUUGUUUUAAGCCAAAGGGAACUUGCAUUUAGUGUUUGUUUGGUAAGAUAUAAUAAUGAGUUUUUGACUUAUAACUUAUAAGUUUAUAUGAUUAAAAAAGAUUUGUUUGCUAACUAUCAGUUUUACACGAGCUUAUAGUUUAUUUUCAUGUGUUUAUAAAGGUAUUUGAUAAGCUAAUUCAAAUAGCUUAUAGCUUAUCAAUUUUUAUCUUCAUUUUACCCCUACAAUCUGAAUUGAAAAAAUAAAUAACUAAAUGCACUUUUUUUAUACCAUUUAAUUCAUAUUUAUAAGCUACUUCAACCACUAAUUUUACUAAACACUACAAAUUCAAUCAGCUAAUUUAUUCGCUAUCGGCUAUAAGUUAACUUAUAAGUCAUCUACUAUAAGCUCAUCCGCCAUAAGCCAGCGCUAAUUUUUACCAAACAGAGCCUUAAACAUUUUCUUCUAAGAGCAUGUUUGGCCCUGCUUAUUUUUCACUUCUCUUCUACUUUCAAGGAGAAGUAGGGCCAAACACAAUUUUAAUAAAGUUCUUAAUAAGAGAAGUAUCUUUUUUGGAAGGAAAGAAAUCAAAUAGAAAUGACUUUUAAAAUAAGAUGUAAAAUUGAAUUUCUAGACAACUUUUCGGAGCUACUGUUCACAGGCCCGCACAUCGAUUCCCGCAGAAACCAUAUUUUAUUUUAUUUUGUUUUUUCUUGGCACAGUUCCCGCUAAUUUUAUUUUUCUUUUCAAUUAAUCCCGCCAAAAACAUAACCUAAUUCUAUAUAUAAAUACAUUCUGCUCCAUCCCUUCUUUGAUCCUGCCGCCGCUGUCACAUCUAAUGCAGUUAUAUCAUUUUAUAUUUGAUUCUCUUGAUUCUUUUAGAUCUGAAUAUGUCCUUUUGUUUUUUAGUGUCAAUCAUGAUCUGUUUUUGUACUUUUAUUCUUUAAAUAAUAAUAGCAAUAUUGUUAAAUUUAAUUGAUAUAUUCAUUUGUUUAAUAGCUUCUUUUUUUUUUUUUACAAGAUUUGUUUAAUAGCUUGUGUUUUAAUCCGUGCAUCUGAUCUGAUUAUUAUAGUCUUUUGUUUAUUUAUCAUGAUCAAACUAGUACUUUAGUAUUAAUUUCUAUUAGUAUUAAUUUGUCCUGUAACUUUAUUAGUUUGCUUUUUAACGUUUUGUGCAUCUGAUUAUUAUUAGCUUUCGGUUUUAUCCUUUAGUCUUAAUUUGUCCUGUUGCAUUAUUCUAAUGGAUUUAGUUGGCUGUCAGGUCCUAGUUUCAUCAAUAGCAUAUUGAAUUUUGUGUGAAGUAUAUUGGUUUCAAAUUCUAUCGGAAAUCGUCAAUAUUUUGAAAUAGAUUGAUCAUAAUUAUUUAUAACUUUAUUAAGGUUUAUUGCAGCUAUGGCUACUAAAGAAAUCCCUUCAGGUAAAAAUGAAAAUUCAGUAAAAGCAACUUGGAAAGUUCCAUCGGAUACCAAAAUUUUACUUGACUUAUGUAUGGUUGAGAUCCGUAAAUAUGGAAAGCCAGGUCUUGCUUUUAGGAAUAGGAAAUGGGAGGAAAUACGUGAAGAAUUCAAUAAACGUGCUGAUAAAAAUUAUAACCAAAAGCAGUUGAAAAAUAGAAUGGAUACUUUGAGAAGUGAUUGGACGACAUGGAAACAAUUAAUUGGUAAAGAAACAGGUUUGGGAUGGAAUCCUCAGAUAGGAAAUAUUGAUGCUGAUGCUUCAUGGUGGGAUGCUAAGAUAAGGGUGAGUAUUAUAAAUAUUUAACUUUUAUCCUGUGAAAAUUGAAUAGUAGAAUUUCGUUUUCAUAAAUAUUUUUUCUUGUUAUUGGUUAUGCAGGAGAAUGUAAAAUAUUUAAAAUUUCGUUAUCAAGGUUUGGAGUUUCUUGAUGAAUUGGAAUUCAUAUAUAGGGAUGCAGUGGCAACAAGUCAACACCAAUGGACACCGGCUUUGGGUGUGCCAUUAGAAUCUAAUGGCAAAAAUACUACUACAAAUGUGCCACAAGAAAUAAUUGACUCUGAUGAUAGUGAAUUUGAUAUUGGUGACCACUUUAGCCCUGUGGAAAAUACUCAACCCAAAAAGAAAAGAAAGGUUUCACCAAAUAUUGGAGAGAAAGUGACAAAGGGAAAGGCAAAGGUUGGGACAACAACAACUAUGAGAAAAACAUUUGAGCGGUUAGUUAAAGCAGAUGAAGGUCAUAAUGAAGUUGAAAAGGCUCAAAUUGCGGCCACCUCUCAUGUCCAUGGAGAGUACUCUAUUCCAGAAUGCGUUAAAUUAUUGAAAAGUGCAAAGGAUAAUGGUUUUUUGAAUGGUCAACAAUUUAGUUAUGCUUUAGAAAUGCUUAAAGAUGAACAAAAUCGAGUCCUACUGAUGACCUUAAAAGAUUCGAAGGAAGAUUUGGUAGAGUGGGUUCUAUACAACUAUGUUGAUAAGAAACCAUCUAAUAUUUAGGUUAAGAUUGGCGUUGGGUUUUUUAGUUAUAUUUGCAUUCAUGCUUGAUGUUUAGAUUUUGCUUUAUGCUUUAUCUUUAGUACUUUUGUUAUUUGGCAUUUGGUAUUUUGCUUUUGGUUGAGAAUUUUGUAUUGAUAUUUAUGCAAUAUUUGAGCAACUUUACUUUAUAUUUAUUUUCAUUUGGUAAUGUCAUUGUUUACCAUCUUUAUAUUCUAAUAUUGGAUUAUUUCCAAACUCUUUCAAUUUAAUUUAUGAUAAUGUUUUACAUAAUAAUUUAUAAAUUUUCAUUUAGUAAAAAAAAACCAGGUCUUUACAAAAUUUAUUUUUUUAUAAAAAAAAAUGUCUUUUAUUUUAUAUAUGAUAAUUGUAAUAAAAUCUCAAAGCUCUUUUAAAAGUAUUUUGCCAAACAAAUUUUAACUUAAAAGUACUAAUUAAGUUGAAAAAAACAACAAAUACCAAACAACUUUAACUUCAACUUCAAAGUUUUAAUUUUCAACUUUAUUCUAAAAGUGACUUUUAGACCUAAAAAAAGUAGGGCCAAACGCACCCUAAGACCACCUUAUAAAAAGGCAAUGUUCACUUCAAAGUGACGAGUAAGCCAUUUCUUGAUUGCUUUUAUCGAUAGAAGAAUGCAAACCGUUAGUAACUUAGCAACAUGGCAAAAUUAUCGUGAUAACCAGUGUCUUCAUGACAUAAUGCUAAUCCACCCUUUCGUAGAGGGUGGUCAUAGGUUCCUUAUGAAAAAAAAAAUAUAUUGACAAUGAUCCAUGUUUAAAUAUGUAUAUUGCACUAUGAAAAAGGAAUUCAGAAGAAUAAAAGAAAGAAGGUAAAUGACAGAGAAAAAUGGGAAAAGGGAAGAUAAAACUUCAUCAUGUAACAAAGAAGCAAUGAUAUUUAAGCACCCUUUAUUUUCCAACGCUUAUUCAACACUUUAUUUUCUCUCUAUCUCUAUCACAUCUAUCACAUUAUUCGCUCUGUUUUUCUCUCUAAAGGUGUCAAAGGAUUUUGGAUGUCCACCGAUCUUUUUCAUAAGAAAAAAGGAAGUCACAAUGACCCAUAACACAUGCAGCAGUAUUUUAAGUCCCACAUCAGAAAAUGUAGAAAGGGAUACAUCAAAUGUGGAGUAUAAAUCCGAAGCGAGCCUUUUGUUUGUGUCAUAUUUUCAUAUUCUCACUUAUUUUUUAAUACUAAAGUGAAUACUUUAGAGGCUCAUACAAAAUUUAGGAUUCCAAUGGUGAACUCUUUUUAAGAUUUUUAUUUUUUAGAUUUAAUUGCAGUUCUAUAUUUCUAUUAGGAUCUAUUUAGAGAUGCAAUGUCUGAAAUUGCGUUAAUGGAUGUCAAAGGAAAAUCCACUUUUUAGAAGUAACCCAACAAAAUGCUAAAGGAAAAUUUGGUGGUACCUAGAAAACCAAUUUUCAUGAUGAUGUUGAGUUUCUUUUAUGACGAAAAAAAACAUCAUCUAACAUUGUUGUUGUGCAUGUACAUUUUUAACUUUUCAACAUUUUUUUGAGCACUUGUUGAAAGGAUGAAGAAGAUAUCUUUGGAAGCACUCAGCGAUGUUCUUUCCUACCCCGGUUUUGGUUCUAAUAAUUGAUGUUGUAGAAGAAAAUAAAUGAUAUGGAUGGUGCUGAUGGCACAAUAAAAAUGGCUCUCCUCCGUAAAACAAAAACACUCCCUUGAAGAAAAAGGGUAAUUGUUGUUUUUGUGUUUCUUGGAGAAUUUUCCAGCCUUUGGUUCGUAUGGAUGUAUUUUGGUUGAUUUAUGUCUGACUUUCUCUUUUAUUUCUAAUAAUCUUUGCUUUUCAUUUUUGUGACAAAUAAUACAGAUAGUAUUUUUACACAAUAUUUGAGAAUGAGAUAGAUAAGUAUUGUUGUUUUAGUACAAGUAAACUAUAGUUUUUCUUCCUUAUUUUGCAUACAAUUUUCUUGUUGUGUAUGUUAUCUUUUUUUUUUUGAGGUAUUUUUCUCUCUGUGACUUCAUUGUUUGGACAAUGACUUUGAGAGAGGGUUGUAAUCAAUAAUCCUGCAUAGUAGAGGUAGAAGAAGAUGGAAAAUGUAAGCUUUUGGAUUCAAAAACAAGGUCAAUGGAAAACAGAUUCCUUGCUUGACUUGUGAGCUAUACGGAAGAACUAUACACUGAGCACAAAGAUUCUUCGAAGUCUCAGCUAAAGAAGUUGAUUAAAAGGUAGAACUCUCAUUCAUCCAACCUGUAAAUACUUUCCAAUCACAAAUCAGUAGAGUUUUCUUCAAGGGUUUAUUCUUUGGACAUGUUAAUGGACUUGACAAAAGGAUUCCAAAGCAUAUUUUGAGCGUGAACAAGAAACAUCUUCGUCGAUGCUUCAAAUUGGUGCAUAAAUUUGCAGUUAAAGCAGCUCAAUGGAACAAACCUAUGAGCUCAAAAGCAACAACCAUAGAGAUAUUAUCACAAAGCUUAAAUACAGAUAAAUUUUCUGAUGGAAAUCUUUUCUUAGAUUGUCCUCUGGCCAGUGAGAACGGAGAAGAGUGGACUUUAAUUAGUUACAGUAAUGGAGAGAAAGAGUACAAUAAACAUCUAAAAUUUUGGUGAUUCAAUUAGAAAUAGCAAUUUGAACAUGACAAAUUUUUCUGAUGCUGAAGGAUUGACAUUGUCAUACCCCAAAUUUGGACCAUUUGAAAUCUUUUUUGUCCACAUUUUAUAAUAGUUCAGAUUCUCUUUUAUUCGUUUUUUUUACCUUUUAAAACUCGUGUUUUUCGUCAUUAAUCAUUUAAAAACUUUCACCUUGCAUUUGAGUCCUCGCUUGCAUUUUUUUUACAACAUUUAAAAUUACUCCAUUUGCAUUUUUAUAACGCGUUUUAUAAUAACAGGCAAGUCAUUUUAAAAUGUCUAAUUGUAUUUUUUAAAAGACGUGUCUUUUUAAUCAUUUCAAUCGAAAUUUCGGCAGGGAAGAUACUUUGAAGUACCUCAUGUCAAAUUUCGAAGGGACCUUUUUAUUUAAUUAAUAUUUUAUUUUUAUUUUAUUUGUUUUUUUAUUAUUAUUAUUAUUAUUAUUAUUAUUAUUAUUAUUAUUAUUUUUCUUUUUUGUUUAUUAUUAUUUUAUUUUAUUAUUCUUUUUAAAAAAGGGAAAAAAGCAAACAAAGAAAGGAAAGUCACGUGAUUUUCUUUCUUUCUUCCCACUUUUCUUUUCCUUUUUCUUAUUUUUUUUAUUUAUUUGCUAAGUUUUUGUCCCCAAGUCUCCAACAGGGGUAUUCUGGUCUUUGAUCUGUACUUGAGCCAACCCUAUUUUGUCACUAUAAAUGCACUGUCCAAUCAUUGGGAAGAGGGUCAGAAAAAUCACUGUAGCUGCGUCAGAGUCAAAUAUGUCCCUCAAUCAACACAAACCAUAAUCCUUUCUCUCCCUUAAAGAAUACAGAUCAAACACAAAAAUCACAAAAAAAAAUAUGAACAUCACCAACAACACUCAUUUCUUUUAUCUCAUGCCUUGAGGCCUCUUUCUCUUCUUAAAACCAUUUUCAAAAAAUCUUAAAAUCAACCUAACCCACCAAAGAAAUUUUUGAGUGGAACUACGUCGGUUUUGAUCCCUUCCCAAAAGGGUACGUAGGCAGAGGGCUUGUCCUUCCAAAUCAAAUAAAAAUAAACCAAAAACAUACUUCUUCUCCCUCCAUUCUUUUACUUAGAUUUUUAGGUAAUAAUUUUCAAAUAAGCAAUGAAUGUAGCACAAGAUAAAUUAGGUAAGAGGUUCCUACGGAAUACCGUAGACGCUUAGGGUGCUAACACCUUCCCUUCGCGUAACCAACCCCCGAAUCCAAAGUCUCAAUAAGGGUUUUUACUCAUUUUUGUCCCUUCCCACGAAUAAAAAUUGAGAGUUCAAAGAUUGACGAUUCAAAUCAAUCAAUGAUUUGAUAUCCGAAAAUCGAGGAGCACAGACAUGCUAUGAUUUUAUGGUCUCUUCUAGUAGUUUAAGUAUAUCUUCAUCAUAUAAACUUGAAAAGGAAACAACACUUUGCGCAAAAUCACAUAACUAUGAUUUUAUGGUCUCUUCUAGUGGUUUAAGUGUGGUGGAUUGUGACAAACCCGAAUUCAAUGGUGGCUAAGUUGUUCAUGACUAAAUUUCAGUUUAUUAUUUUGAAAGUGGUGUUACAUGUUGAGAGAUUAAGUCUGGUAGUCUAGUGGUUAGAAUUCAUCUUUUUCAAGGCGAAUAAAUGGGGUGUUUGGGAUUCGAAUUCAGACUCCUGUAUAUAAAAUGCAUAUUCAUGUGUCUGGGGUUCAAAUUUAGGUCCCUAUAUAUAAAAUGUAUGUCCCUGCUAACUGAGCUAUGCAAACUUAUUUUAACAUACUUAAUAAAAAAAAAAUGCUAACCUUGUACACUUAAUUAAAAAUCUAGUGGCUUCUUAGUUUUCAUAUGUUACUUUUUCGUUGCCCCGUGAAAGCCCACCAAAUUAAGUUCUACAAUUUUUAAUUUCUAUUUCAAUUCUAAAUUCAAAUUCAAAUUUAAGAAGUAGAUUUUCUGAGAAAUUUAAUAGAUGUUUAAUCAAUGCUGCUUUGAAUAUUUUUCAACCUUUUCCAAUGAGGAAUUUUAUGUUGAGAAAUUUGGCCGAUUUAAUUAUGUGAUAGAGCUAUCUCUAGGAGAAGUAGGAUAAGAUACACUGAAGAAGAAUGUUGGGAUUAUAGGUCAAAUUUCAAGUUUCUUCCAAUGAUUUUUGAGAUUCAUGAUUUUGUAAGUUCUAGUAGCGUACAAAUUAAUAUAUUUUCUUUUUGUUCUACUAAGCAAGCAAUAUUUCUUAAAAAAAAUGUCAGUGGCCGCAAUCUUGGUUGCAGCAGCAAGUUUCUAAUCCUUUGCAAUCCUAAAGCGCUUGCGCGAUUGAAGUUGCAUCAACCACAUUUGACUGCAAUUCUCUAUAAUAUAAAGGAUUGAUACACGACUGUUACUACGAUUUAAAACCUUAGAUCAACCAUGUGUCGCCACAUUAAUAUGUAGCUUGUAGUCCCUAUAAGACACCAAUUAAUGGUUCAAUGACACAUAAAUUUGAUAACCAUGUGUCGCCUCAUUUAGAUGGUGCAUACAGUUCAUUUAUGUGGCUAAUUACUUUUAAUCAUGACUAAUGAAUAUAACAAGUUGUCGCAACUUGUUAGCAAUCUACUAAACACAAUUAACCACAUAUUUUGCGUGAUUAAACAUGAUUUUUCCAAUAUUAAAAUAUACAAUAUAUAUUUUAACCAUCUAAACUGUGUUGAAAAUUAUUAAGAGAGAAAGAGUGUGAAUGAAAAGUGUUGUUCUCAUUCCUUGUGAUUGAAGAUACAAUUGGUUUAUAUACAUUUGUGUGUACAUGAUAAGCUAUUGUAGUAAUGAAACACUAUAGUGCAACUAAAAACUCAAUUACAUGAGAUACAAGUUAUUUCAUCCUUAUGUGUAUUAUCCAAUAGCCCCCCCCCCCCCCCCAAGUUGGAGGUUGAUAGAUAUCUAACAAGUCCAACGUGGAUAAAAGAAGGUUGAAAGGUUGAGGAUGAAGAGCUUUGGUGAAGAAAUCAACAACUUGCUCUUGCUCUUGAGAGGAAACAAGAAGAAGUUUGAGUACGCCAGAUUGUAGCUUUUCCCUCAAUAUGUGGCAAUCAAUCUCCAAGUGUUUGGUGUGUUCAUGAAAUACAGGGUUAGCUGCUAUGUGUAAAACGCUUUGAUUGUCACAAAAGAGUAUAGGAAGUCUGGUGCAAGAAACAAGGAGGUCCUGAAGAAGGUAAAUCAGCCAUUGAAGCUUACAAGUGGCCGAAGCUAGAGCAUGAUACUCAGCUUCAGAAGAGGAUCUAGAAAUAGUCACUUGUUUCUUUGUUCUCCAUGAAAUUAAAGAGUUCCCUAAGAAGAAACACUGACCACUGAUGGAUCUCCUAGUAUUAUCAACACAACCUGCCCAAUCUGCAUCUGAAUAUCCUUGCAAGUGAAGAGGUGAAUCUCUAGGAAAGAAUAAACCUUUUCCUAGACAGUUCUUCAGAUAUCUCAGAACUCUUAAUGCAGCUCAAUGAAGAAUUUUAGCUGACCCAAAUCCUUAAUUUAGAACAAAGUGUCCAAAAUGAAUUUAAUGGAUUGAAAUUCUUCUAAAGAAUCACCAACAAGAAUAAUAUCAUCCACAUAUACAAGUAAAAUGGUGUAUGAAGUACCAACUUUCUUGAUUAAAAGAGAAUGAUCUGAAUUAGCUUGAGUAUAGUGAUGUUGGAUAAGAACAUAAGUGAGCUUAUCAUACCACUUCCUGCUUGCUUGAGACCAUAGAGGGAUUUAUUUAGUUUACAGACUAUAUUAAGGUUCUUGACUGAGAUGCCUGAAGGUAAAGUCAUGUGAACAUCUUCAUGUAAAUCUCUAUGGAGGAAAGCAUUAUUAACAUCAAGCUGAUGAAGAUGCCAAUGCUUAAUAGAUACUAAGGCAAUGACUAAUCUGACAGUGUUGAGUUUUGCAACUCGUGAGAAAGUAUCAAAGUAAUAAAGCCCUUCAUCUUGAGUCUAUCAUUUUGCAACUAAACACGCUUUGUAUCUCUCAAUACUGCCAUCAGCAUUACGUUUGAUUUUGAAUACCCAUCUGUAUCCUAUGGGCUUCACAUUAGGGGGUAAAUCCACAAAAUUCCAUGUCCCGGUUUGUUCAAGAGCCAUCAACUCAACUUGCAUCGCUUUCUUCCAACAUUCUAGCUUGUUAGCCUCAGCAUUGGUUUUGGGCUCAGUGUGUGUAUGUAAAGAUAAAACAAAAGAAGAGUGAUUAGCAGACAAUUUAUUAUGAUUGAGAUAAUGGGAAAUAGAGUAAUUAAGUAGUAGAUUUAAUACUAUUGCAUACAUAAUCUUGCAAAUAGUAAGGUGAAGUUUUAUUUCUGGUGGAAUUUCUAGGUAAAUGAGAAACAUAUGAAGGAGGUAAAGAUGAAGAAGAUGAAUUAGGGAUAGUGUCAUCAAUGAAAAGAGGUGCAGGAGGUAUGGAGGAAGUAUCAUUGAUAGGGUUCAAAGUGUCUGUAGUGGAAUGUGAAAAAUAUUUCCAGCUAGGGUUAGUGGAUGAUGCAGUAUAUUUGUAAGGAAGGAUAUUUUCAUGGAAAGUAACAUGUCUGGAAACAAAUAUUUCUCUGGUGGAUAGAUCAAGAAGAUGGUAACCUUUAUAACCAGAUUUGUAACCUAAAAUUAAAGAUUUUCUAGCACGAGGUUGAAGUUUUGACCUAUGAGAUUGCAAGGUAGAAGCAAAACAUAGACAACCAAGCACUUUGAAAAGUUGGAUAUCAGGAAGUUUAUGAAACAAAACAUGAUAUGGGGACUGAUUGUGUAAGACUAGGGUAGGUACUCUAUUGAUAAAAAAAAAAUAGCAUGAAGAACAACAUAAGACCAAAAGGAAGGAGGACGUUUAGAUUGGAACAAUAAAGCCCUACCAACAUUAAGAAUAUGCUGAUGUUUCCUCUCAACUCUGCCAUUUUGUUGAGGAGUUUCAACACAUGACUUUUGAUGAAUAAUGCCAUGAGAAGCAUAGAAUUAAUUAAGUAAAAACUCAGGCCCAUUAUCUGAUCUAACAUAUUUAGGUGUGACAUGAAAUUGAGUUUUGAUCAUGAGGAUAAAAAUUUUCACAUGAAUAGAAACUUCUGACUUUGAUUUUAAAAGAAUGACCCAUAGAAAUCUGCUAUGAUCAUCCAAUAUGGUGAGAAAAUAUUUAAACAAUAUCCCAUAUUCUAUUCUUCUUCUUCGUCUAUUAUCUUUAAACAAUGUUAGUGAUCUCAUGUUAUUUUUGGAUCAUUAGUUUAAGCCAAUUUUGUUAUAUUCUUGAAAUGUAUGCAUCUAUAAUUUUGUAUUUCUUUCUUUGAUUUCUAACUAAACAAUUGCCAAUUAUUCAUUCACUAUGCAGCAAAAUGAGCAUACACUUCGAUUUUCAGGGUUCAAACGAUAUCAGCCCAGCCUUUUUGACAUUUCAUAUACAAGAUCAAAGAUAACCAUCUUUUUCCUCAUUCUUUUUUGUUGAAGAGGAUAGAAUCUAAAAGGUUUUUGCUGGCGAUAAUUUGGUAAACUAUAGAACUGAGAUUGUACUUGUCAUAUUUGUUGAUGGAAAGUGGAAUUUAGCACCUAAUUGUUCUAUUUGAAGAUAGUUAUUAAAAAAUGGCUAGUUGUAUGCAGAUACCUUAUUUGCACUAUGUAUGCAUUCAAACUUAAAUUUUGGGAUACAAUGCUGAUUCGCCUCCCUUUCAUUUAGUUCGUUAUAAGACCAACGACUUCAUGUAUGUCUUCAUUUUACAGCUUUUCUUUUCUACAAACUUACCUUUUGAUAGAACCAAGAAUGGAGGGUUCACUUAAGGCAUCUCAGCAAGGUACUUAGGUGCAGCUUGACAUCUAUUAAAUUUCUACUUUUUAGCAGGUUGUGGCAGAAUGUGAUAUUUAUCCUAAUCUCAGCAAAAUAUGCACACAAACCACUUUGUCACUAGUAGACAGUUACAAAGUCUCUAUUGUAGUGGAUUGUGAAUCCAUCAUGCGCGUGUUCAAUAUCUGUGAUUCGUUCAUGAAUCGAUUAAAUCUAGAUUUUCCUUUUGCAGGAGCAUGACAUGCAACCUAAACAGGGUAUGCAGAGACAUCUCGUUGUUUAUUAGAUUUCUAAGAGAAUAGUGAGAUGCAACCUUAUAAUUGAAAAUAAACUUAAUGUGAAUUACUUUACCAUAUAACAUGAGACACAAAGUUAUAUUAAGAAAAACCAUUUUGGUCCUUAAAUGUGUGAGGUCGUAUUUUAGUAUUGGAUUAAACAACCAUUUUGGUUCUUAAAUGUGUCUAGUUCUUGAAUGUAUAAAAAAUUCCAAAAAAUAAAACCUCUGAUCUGCAUUGAUUUUACACCCAUGAUUAGCAUCUAAGGUUCUUUAUAGAAGUUGGGCUAUUAUUUUUCCUAUUCAUUCCAUACAUAAAACAUUGCUCAAAUCUGCAUUUGUUCUUUUAUGCCGAAUCUAAGGCUUUGCUGCAAAUCUGCAAGAAUGAAACUAGCAGAAAAAAAGGUUUCACAAUCUUAAUGUUAAAACUUCAAUAUUCUGUAAAACAAGGCUUCGCUCUAAGUUGAAUCUCUGCAUUUUAUUUCUUCAUCAAAGAUUAGUAAUUUUCAACAAAACAAAGUGUGUCUAUGAAUGACUGCAUUUUAUUUCUUCAUCAAAGAUUAACGAUUAAAUUGAACCAUUUAACUAAAAUCAAUCACAACUUAUAUUUAAAAAAAUCAAAAGGGUAAUAUUGUACCAUUUAAUGGUAAAUGGAUAAUAAGGUUAGUAAAUAUAAGAGUAAUAUAGCAAAUGGAAGUAGGUUGGGUGGGGGCGGGACAUAUAUCACCUUCCCAUGCCCCCAUUUUCUAAAUCCGGGUUUUCUCCGCACCCGCAUCCAAUGUACAUGGAAGGAGGGUUUCCUCAUUUAAUUUUUUCUGAGCACGAUCAGAAAGAGGUUUACAUAGCAAAGUUGAGGAAGAUAUUAGACUCGACAUAUGAUAAGGUUUUGGACUGUGUAUCAGCUUCACUUAAACAGGGCAAAAGAAAUGGUCGUGAGAUUGCUGACGAUGAUUUGCCGCCUGUUAGGAAGAUGAAUGUAUCAACGAGUUUCACUUUUUGCUCGAAUAGUUGUCGAGUAAUGGAGACAGAGUUCACAUUAAAAAACCAUAUUCCUUUUAAUAGGACAGAAAAAAAUAGGAGAUAGGGGCUUAAAAUUUCUAAACAAAUCUGGUGUAAAUAAAACCACAUCGCCUUCUGAAUGUUGUAAUCAAUAUAAUGAUGCCUGCUCAUCGAGUAUGAGCAUUCUGAUUUCCAGAGGCGUUCAUGGUGGGCUUAGAGCCAGAAAUUGUGUCCCGUCUAGUCUGAUAGAUAGACGGUGAUCUGCCAGUCUAGUCGAGUUUACACCCAUGAUUAGCCCCCUACCUUAGUUAUCCUACCAUUGACAACUUGAUGAUCCAAUUGAUCUUUGACACGAGGAUGUGAAAAAGUGGGACACCUAAGGUAGGGGGCUGUCAGUUUGUGGUAGAAGAUGAAGAGAAGGUAGUUCAGACGCCUCUUCUUCCAUCCAUAACACACGACACACUCAUAGACACAUCUUACUUACAUAUUCCCAGUGAUUGGUCUUUAGAUUGGAAUUUGGAUAUGCCUCUGAUAGUGAAGAACUUUAUCUGGUAUUUUUUACGUGAGUCCUUCAAAUUGUGCCAGAUGCAACAACAAUAUGGAAAAUAAUUGGCAUAUUUUAAUUAUUUGUCCUGUUUCUAUAGAGGUCUGGAAAAAAGCUGGCUUGUAGCAAUAUAUAGAACCCCAUAUUUUAUUGGUAGAUGGCAUUGUUGGAUUGGUGUUGGCACUGCCUAAACAAAUGAACAUUGGGUAGUACAGCAUCUUAUGCACCACGAUGCGGAGCCUUUGGCGAAACAGAAAUAUCAAACUGUGGGAUGGCAGAGACAAAGAACCUGUUGAGGUUUGUCUGUGUGCUACCGAUGACAACGCCUUAAAAUGGGGAAAUAAGGGAAUAGUUACGUGCAAUAUCGACGUGACUUUUGCAGAGAAUAAAGUUGGAAUAUUUUUGUUUCUACGAGACAAGAUCAAUUGUAAACAUCUCCUUCCUCAUUCUUUUUUGCUGAAGAGGAUAUAGAAUGUAAAAGAGUUUGCAGGAGAUAGUUUGGUAAUAUGUAGCAUUAAUAUUGUGUUUGUUUUCUCAUAUUUGUCACUAAUUAUUCUAUUUGAUGAUAGCUAUUUGAUAGCGGACCAUUACUCAUGACAUUAUUUGAAGAUGAAAGGAAGAAAGAAAGUUUAGAGUCUCAAUAAGUCCCACAUCGGAACAUGAGGAGAGAUACAGAGCAAAUGUGGAUUAUAAAUAUACCUCAUGUGCCUUACAGCAUUUUUACUCUUAAGUAGAAAUUUUUGUUCAUAUUUACUUCUCAAUAAUACCUUUAAAUAUUUAUUGCAUGGUAUAAUUGAGCUUUGUUACGAUCUUGAGUUCUUACGUGCACUAAUAUAUUUUUUCCUGACAACUUUGGAUCAUUCAAAGUCUCUCUACAUUACAUCUCUUAAAUAAGAGUUAGUGUAGACAAUGUUGGAUUUGAAUUAGAUUCAAAGUUGGUGGCUGAUAGCUUCAAUAAUCCUACAUUACUUCAGACAUUUUAGCUUCAAAUAUUUUAUAACUCUCGGUUGUAGUAAUAUGAAAACUUUCAGGUGUAAUAUUAUGAAAAGAUAAUAUUAAGUUGAUUUUUAAUUGAAAGAUGAAAAUACAUGGCUUAAAAUAAUGUCUAAGUCAAUUUUUUUUCAUGCCAAUAAAAAGAGAUAAUUUCUAGAUCUUUUGACCAUGUUAUUUUAUUUUUAAAAGGAAAAAUUAAAUUCAAAUAAAAGCUAUAACAAACGUACUAUGUUUAAAUGAUAGAUGCAAAUACUAACCUAUAUAAAUAUCAAAUAAAUAUAUAAAAAAUAAAAAUAUAGACACCUACAAACACCCUAAAACAGAAAUACAAAAGCACAUUAGUACAUGUAGUACUAGAUAAAUACCAACAAAAUUCCACAACUAGAAUUGAGAAUAUCAUCAAAAUUCUCUUCGACUUAGAAACUUCGUGUGUGUAGUUCAUUAACAAAUGAGUCAAACUAUAUGUAACUCAAGUUCAUAUCAUUUAUUUAAUGAACUUUUUUCUGAUCAUUUGGAUCAUAACCAAACUCAACAUGUUAAUUGUCGAAUCGAAUUUCAAACUAUAUUAAAUUUGACUCGGUUCAUCGUAAGUUCUAUUUAGAUGAGUUAAACUUCAGAUCAUCCACCAAAGAUGUCCUCAUAACAACGAGAGUUGAACCAACCUUGUCGGUGAUCAACCAAAGCCAACUUUAUUGGCUUAAUCCUUCAUUUUUAAUCUAGAAAUUUCAGUUUUUUUAAAUUUCUGAAAUUGUGUCCAUGGAUGCCAUGUCAAAAGAAAAAUUCCAACGAUUAUUUGGCCUCACCCAUUUUUCAGAAGGAACCCAUUUUCAUGUUCUCCCUUUUUUAUGAAAGGCGAAGAAGAAAAAAAAUAUAUAAUGACCCGAAAACAAUCCAGUAAUUAAAAAAGUUCAUACUCUUCUUUUAUUAUUAAUUAAUUUAUUAUAUUUUUGUUAUUUUUAUAGCAGGUGUUCUGUUUUCUGUCUUCUGCCUUUUCAUUUUUGUCACACAAAAUAGUGUUGAGUGUGGUUGUUGUUUUUAGUAUUGGAAAGUAAAGUAUUGUUUUUGUUCAUUAUUUUUGCAUACAAUUUUCUCUUUUAUGCAUGUUAUCCUUUUCUUUUGAAGUGUAUUUCUUUUUGUGUGUCUUCAGUUGUAUAGGACAAUGACUUUGAUAGAAGAAGAUGGAAAAUGUAAGCUUAUGGAUUCAAAAAGGGGGCUUAUGCAGUAAUAGGGAAUAAUUAUGAUAUGAAGACUCUUCAAAGUCAUAGUUAUAAAUGCUAUUCAAUCACAAAUCAGUGUUAAGUUUUAAAAAACGGUCGCGGUUAAGGUCGCGGUUGCAUACAUGAUUUUGCGAUUUCGACCGUUACGGGUGUUGCGAUAUGGAUUGCGGUUGUCGCGGUGUAAAUUAAUCACAACAUUGCACAACUCUUAAAUAACGAUAGUAACUUGAAUAACUUAAACUAGAGAAAUCUUUAGAGUUUAAACUAGAUAAGGAGAUAACUUAUGUAAUUUAUGAUCAAAUAUGUACUAAAAAUAUGAUUUUCAUCUAUCUCAAUUGAAAAAAUACCCGGAUUCUAUGUCUAUUGUCAUGAACUGCAUUUCUUUGGGCCGUAACGGUGUUUCGUCGCGGCUGUAACAACGUUUCGUCGUAAUUUUUGUUCACUCUAUAAAAACGGUGAAAAACGGUAACGUCCGCUACCUAUACCUUUUUGUGGCGGCCUUUUUCUCGGUAACCGACCGUUUUUUAAAACCUCCAACUAUUCAAACUCUCAUUCAUGUUAAUGGACUACACAAUAGGAUUUGAAAGCAUAUGGUGAGCGUGGACGAGAAACAUCUCCGUCAAUGCUUCGAAUUGGUACAUAAUUGUGCACUUAAAACAUUUCUGAUGCUAUAUCUUCCAUUUCUCGUGCCAUCUCUACUUAUUCUUGAUUUUUGUACUCAAUGUAAUGUGCUUGUAUGUAUACCUUCAAAUUAAAAUUAGUGAUACAUGAAAUUAAUGAAAAUAAGACUUUAAGCUAAAACGACUCUACCAUAUAGCAGCUUGAAAAAUGACAACUAGUCAGGCCAUGAUAAACAAUGUCCAAUAUUUCGUUUUUGUUGAACACUGGCAAAGGUUCCUUCAACUUUUGCUGAUCCAUCUCUCCAUGCAAUGUUAGGUUCCUUGUAAUUGAAAACAAGACGUAAAUAAAAUUAUUCUACCAUAUAACAUGUGAAACAUGAUAACAUUAAGUUAAUUUUAAUUGAAAGAUUAAUUUGAUGUGUUAUAUGACAAACAAGGCCUGAAAUUGGAAGAAGUGGAACAUUCAAAGAUAUAAAAGAAAGAAGUUAAAUGACAGACAAAGGUGAGAAGUGAUGUGGAAACUAGUAAGUGGGUUGAACGAUCUUCCAUAUUAAAACCUCAUUCUAUGAUAAGGGAAAAGGAAAUGGAAAUGGAAAUGACCCACUCAUACUCAGUACUCACUAGUAAGUGGGUGUAAUUCUCACACAUAACGUACCAAUGAAUCGCCAAAUUUUGUAUUGUGUCGGUAGUGUUUUUUAAGAGUUAAGAUUCUCUCCAUUUAUUAUUCUCUCUAUUUCAUCCAUUUUGAGAGAUAAAGAUCCAAAAAAAAAAUCAAAAAACUAAAAAGUAAUUAAUGAUGGUGGGACCUACUUAAUAGUAGGAUCCACUAUCUAUUUAUAUGUCCAUCUCUCUCCAAAUUGGAUACUCCAUUUAUUAUGCCAAAUGAAGAGGAUCUUUACCCGUUUUUUAAAGUCCCACAUCGGAACAUCAAAAGAAAAACAGAGCAAAUGUUCAAUAUAAAUAGCCAACCUUCCCUCCCGCCCAUUGUGUAAAUCUCGUUUUCUUUUGGAGUCCAUAUGUCUAUUGUUGGAUUCAACACUUUAAGAGAAGAUGAUAUUGUAGAACUUAUUUUUGUGUCAAGACCAUAAUGGAUAUUAUCAUAAUUCAAACACCUUUUUUUUUUGUCAAGCUUUCACACAUCUUUUUAAAUGUGGAGAAUUAAUUUUGAAACUCAUUAAAAGUUUUUUGAUUUAUAAUUCUGAUUAUUUAGUAAAUAUUUUUUAACCUUUUCUGAAAAGAGAUUUGUGUUAAGAAAUUGGAUCUAUUUAAUUGUGGUAGAGAUAUCUCUACAUAUGAAACAAUAUAUGGGAGGUAAGUUUAAAAUCACAUAAUUAUUCAUACACUGUUUAGUUUAUAAUAAAAACUUGGGUAAAAUAUGCUUUUCAUCCCUGUAAUUAUGGGCCAUUUGAUUUUUCAUCCCUGAGCUUACUAAUCCUCCCAUUUUGCCCCUGUAAUUACUAAUCAUUUGAAAAUUCGUCCUAAUUACAAAAUUUUGCUGAGGUGGAGGGUGAUUAGCUACGUGGCACUUGGUGACUGGGGUUUUGGCAGGACACAUCAGCAGAUGGGGAGGGAAAUGACAAUUUUGCCCUUAAUGAGUCUGGUUUCGCGCGGAAUGACCGUUUUACCCCUGCCUCCUUCUUUCCUUCCUCACGUAUUCUUCUUCUCUUCUUCUCAAUCAUACUUCUUGCUUUCUGAAACCCUAAAACAUCCACUCUUCUUCUCCAUUGAACCUUCACUCGCAUUCCCUCAUCUCAGAUUUACUUUCUCCAGUUCGAAAAUGUCAACUGGAAACAGCAGUACAGGGUACACGUAUGGUUCUUUAUUGUACGGUGAAUUCGAAACUUCCCGUGGAAUGCUUCCAAUGUGUCGUUGUGAGUUGCCCAUGGUCAUCUACAUUGCUAACACAAGAGCGAAUCAAGGACGUCGAUUUUGGAAGUGUCGCAAUUGGAUGAAAAAAAAUACAUGUCAGUUGUUGAUUUGGGAUGAUGAGCUUGCUGCUGGUACAAGGCCAAUAGUUGAAGUGACAUCUAGGAUGGCAGUGACAGAAGAGAAGGUGAAGGUUGAGGAAGAAGUGGAGUCUAAAGAAAAUGGGGGGGCCAAUCCAAUUCAGACUCAAACAAGUCAAAGUUUUGAUACUAAUCAAACAAAAGUUGAUAAAGUUCAAAGGAAGGUAAAUUGUUUAUUAUAUGCUACUAAUUUGUUUAUUAUAUGCAACUAAUUUGUUUAUUAUAUGCUACUUUGACAGAGAAAAACAUCAACUUAAGGAAAUCAAACAGAAGUUACUGAAGGCAGUUUUAGUGUUGGUACUGGAUCAACAAACACUGAAGUGGGGGUAAAUGAGAAUAAGAAAAGGAAGCUGGUUAAAUCUGCUAUGUGCAAUGGUAAAUUCAAGCCACCUGCACCUGCACAUUCUCUUCCUUCCAGACCAGUUAAAGCUCCAAUCACCAAACCUACAGUUGCAUUUAUGUCAACCUACAUGAAACCAAAUUCAUCCACAGCUGUCAACCCCACUGCACAGGUUCAUACCAAUGUUCAUUCUGCUCCAACCUCCAAAACUAUUGUCAAACCAACUACAAUAGUUUCCACAAAUGUCAAGACUGCCCAAAACACACACAACAUCAUUAACCCAUCUGCAAUUGUCAACACAACAGUCAACACUACACCAACUUCUCAAACAUUUACUUCUAAAACAUUUGUCAAGCCAUACACCAUUGUGAAAACAAUUAUUGAACCUGUCUUAAAGAAACGUCCACCAAAUCCAGCAACUAAGGUGAGGAGAAGUCGUAGGACUGCUUGGAAAAAUAAUGCUAACUUCAAAGGGCCUGGAAAAGCAAUAGAUGAUCCAAUUGAAGUGGCAGAUGAUGAUAACCAUGCUAAGACACAACAUGCUACAAAAACUGCUGGUGAUACUUCAAAAACUGUUGGUGAUACUUCAAAAGCUGCUGGUGAUGCUAAAGAUGGAUCCUGUUUAGGCCUGUUGAAAAAAAUUGACACAAUUAAAUAUGUUUAAUUGGGCUAGCAAUGUUUUGAUGUUGUCUUUUUUGGUGUAAUAUGUGGCUUGGACCAAGUUAUCUGCUAAUUAUGUAGCUUAGCCAUCUUUUGAUGUUAAUGUACCUAUUGGCUUAGACCUUAAAUGUUUAGCUUAGCCAUCUUUUGAUGCUAAUUUACAUAUUGGCUUAGACCUUAAAUGUUUCUUCCUUUGAUGACAAUGUUAUGCUAUUUGAGUAAAUGUUAUUCUAUUUCAUUACAAUCAUGGGAUACACCAUCUUUGUUGCACAAAGUGAUUGAUGCUUCUGUAAAAACACAAACUUAAACAACACAAACUUAAACACUUUCUUGCAAUCACAUUACAAUUCAUUUAGAUUGAAAUACAACACACAUUCAUUUAUAUUGAAUUACAACACUUAACACACAAACACUUAACAAACUAAACAUAAAGCCUAAACAUAAACACACUACCAAUGGAUCCACUUCAUUACAUAACAACCAACUACAACCCUAACUUAAACAAACUAACACUGCAAUCGGAAUCCAACUUGCCACCAGAUGCAACUUCAGCCAUUACUUUCUUCCAUAAAACACACAAAAGAGAACCCAACUUGCCACCAGACUCCACUUCAGCCAUGCCACUUUCUUUUUCUCAGCUAACAUCUUCUUCUUCCACUUAUCUUUCUUCAAGUCAUAAAUUCCUUCCAUAGCUUCAACACAAUUACACUUCUUUUCUUUAGACUCCACUUCUUCCUCAACCUUCACCUUCUCUUCUGUCACUGCCAUCCUAGAUGUCACUUCAACCAUUGGCCUUGUACCAGCAGCAAGCUCAUCAUCCCAAAUCAACAACUGACAUGUAUUUUUUUCAUCCAAUUGCGACACUUCCAAAAUCGACGUCCUUGAUUCGCUCUUGUGUUAGCAAUGUAGAUGACCAUGGGCAACUCACAACGGCACAUUGGAAGCAUUCCACAGGAAGUUUCGAAUUCACCGUACAAUAAAGAACCAUACGUGUACCCUGUACUGCUGUUUCCAGUUGACAUUUUCGAACUGGAGAAAGUAAAUCUGAGAUGAGGGAAUGCGAGUGAAGGUUCAAUGGAGAAGAAGAGUGGAUGUUUUAGGGUUUCAGAAAGCAAGAAGUAUGAUUGAGAAGAAGAGAAGAAGAAUACGUGAGGAAGGAAAGAAGGAGGCAGGGGUAAAACGGUCAUUCCGCGCGAAACCAGACUCAUUAAGGGCAAAAUUGUCAUUUCCCUCCCCAUCUGCUGAUGUGUCCUGCCAAAACCCCAGUCACCAAGUGCCACGUAGCUAAUCACCCUCCACCUCAGCAAAAUUUUGUAAUUAUGACGAAUUUUCAAAUUAUUAGUAAUUACAGGGGCAAAAUGGGAGGAUUAGUAAGCUCAGGGAUGAAAAAUCAAAUGGCCCAUAAUUACAGGGAUGAAAAACAUAUUUUACCCUAAAAACUUUUGGAAGUAGCCAAAAAAAAAAAAAAACUUUUGGAAAAAAUUUAUGAAAACUUCCUUUGUCUUUAACAUCAACAGUAAAAAAAUUAAUGUUUUCUGGAUGCACUGUUUUGGAUAAAGGUAGUUUUCAAAAUUUCACACCACCCAAACAAGUUCUAAACUUUUAAUUCCUGCCUAACUUGAUUACCUUACAAAAUCAUAUGAUAGUAGCAUUUAGUAGCUGGAACUGAGAGAUAUUUUACCAAUAUUGAUCUAUGAGUUGUUAAGUUUGACAGCAUGUUAAUUUUAACGUUUUUGAGUUUUGUCAAUCAUGACAGCAUGGUUAUGAAGGUGCACAAGAACGUUUGUAGCAUUAUGUGGCUUUUUGAGUUCGAGGCAUCUCAUAGUCAUAGUCAUAAUCUACUUUGCAUGUUUUUUUGAUCUAGAAAGAAUGGAGAUAACACUUGUUUGAUGUUUCGUAUGUAAGUUGAAGUUUGAAAAUGAAUAGCCCUGCCAGCCAGCAAUGGUUUUAAGUCCCACAUCGGAAAAUCAAGAGAAAAACAAAGCAAGUAUGGAUUAUAAAUACUCUAUAUGCCUUUUAGCAUUUUACCUAUCAGCUUGAUGUUUGAUUAUUAAAUUUUUGAAAAGCAGAAUGGACGUAUGGAAAAUUGUUUUUGUUUGAAAGCAAUUUCUGGUGAUAAAACAACUUUUAAAUAGUUUAUUGAAGACAGUGAACUUUCCAUAGUUCUAAACCUUAAUCGACUAUUAUUCUAUUAGGUGUGAGAAUCUCAUGUCUUAAAUACCAUAUCAAACAUUUUUAUCUUUUCGACAUGGGACACCUAACAAAGAUCUCUCUUAUUUUGGUUUUAUUGUUAAAGAUUGUAUUUUAUUUUUAAAUGUUAGUUGUCCAAACUCGUUGAUCGAGACAAGUUAACGUAGUAGCUCAUAAUUUAGUUAAAGCAGCUACAUCUAUGAAAAGUUAUCUGUUUUUAACAUUAUUAUCCUGACAUGUAUUGAACAAAACUAUUGCUAAUGAUAUGAUAUAUAUAGGCUUAUUUCCUUUAUAUGCCAGGAAACAAUUGUUAGUUUUAGAUGCUUGGAGUGACAGGAGACAAACAUAGCAGAAUGAGUCGGGAGCCAUCAUAAAAAAUAUAUAUUUGUUUAUGUUGUCCAAGUGUUGUGUGAAUAUUAUAAUGAUUUUUUUUUUUUUAAGGAGUGUGAAUAUUAUAAUGAUAACUAGUAACAUAUUCCUUAAAAAAAAAAAAAAAAAACUAGUAACAUAUACUACUACUACUAGGUAUCUAAUUUCAAAGCACAAGCCUUUAUGUUACGUUACAAGACUCUUUUGAGUUUUUUCUUUGUCCCUUUUUAUAAGAUAUUUUUCAAAUUUUAAAGUACAUUAACUAUUUCUUCACCAAUAUUAUACCUCUAUUUAUGUUACAUAUUUUUCUUCAAUAUGUAAUAAAUACUUUUGGAAACAUUAACAAAUCCUCUUUCCUAAGCGAUUAGGUAGGUAUAUAUACUCAUUCCGUCCUAAAUUAUAAGCAAAAAAAAAAUCACAAUUAUUAAGAAAACUAAAACAUAAGAAUUUGGAGUGUAGUUUUUUGUGUUUUCUUUGAAAAAAGUUUUAUAGGAAGAUGUAAAAACAAUUUUCAUUGGCCAUUGGUUAUGGAAAAAAUGAAAGAGAGAGAAAAUUGAAUGUAAUUUGCAUUUAAUUUUAUGAGAAUAAACAAAAAAAAAUCUUGGAAAAGAUAAAAGUUUGUCUUUUUUGCUUAUAUUUUGGGACAAAGAAAAUGUGUUUUUUUUGCUUAUAUUAUGGGACGGAUGGAGUAUUUGUCAAGUUUCCCAUGAAUAAUUUGUUUUCCGUGAAGACAAAAUAAAAUUGAAUACUUGCCAAGUGUGGAGAUGACUACUUGUUUCCUAUUGAAUUCACCGUCAGUGUAAAUGUGAAUAUUUGUUUCCCUGAAUAAAUAAUGUAGGAAAUAACUUAUUGGAGUUCUAUUUGUAGUAGGAAUGUUUCCUCCUCUACUAAAGAUUCUAUUGCUAGUAUUCUAUGGGAAGUAAGUGAUAUAACUGCAUCGUCAGAACUCUUCAACUGCUUCAGAAAUGGUCUAUUUGGUUCUUGCAAGCUCUCCUGAUAAUGAGUGUGCAUUGUUUAUGGUUUUACAUUUAAAUAUCUAUGUUCAUCUUCUUAACCCUUAUAACUCUUUUAUUUUUCUUAACUCAUUGAUGAUCAUUGAAUCUUGUCAAAGAUCUACUUUUUCUCAAAGAGAAUCUAAAUUCUAAAUCACAAUUCAUUAACUAACUCAAUUAAUUGAAUCAAAUUGUUAUUUGUUUGAUUAAUUUCCAUAAUAUUUAAUUAAGUUUGUUACUUAGACAUCAAUGAUCAUGUAACUAGUCAAAUUAAGUUGUAUUAAUUGCAUUUAUCCAAUUUGGAAGUAAAUCUUUGACAUUAAACAUAUUACCUAUUAUAAGGACAUUAUUAUGUUAUAUAACAAAUAACAUAAUAAAUACAAUUUUGUGUGUGUAUAACAAGGUCAUAAUAAAAAAGUAAAUCUAAUCAACAUAGAUUAUCUAUUAAGGUUUACUCUAACAUAUACAACAUCUCUUAUUCUACGAGAUCAUUUAAAUUAGGAAAAGAAAAAUACAACUAUUUGGUACCAACAUAAUAACUAAAUGAUAGAUCAUGAAAUAUUUUGGCAUUCGGUAUAUUGCACAUUUAUUUUGGUAGCAUAACAAAACAUUCUUCUUGAUUGGGCGUUUGUGUACUCUCGUGGGUUUGGUAUUCAUAGAAUUGGUUGACAUUCGUGAUUAAUGCACUUAGUAACAAACCAUAUUUGUCGACAAUCGACAUCAGUUUUACAUUCCUUAUGUACUGCUGUAAUGAAAAAAAAAUAUAAUAAAUAAUGGUACUAAAACAUUAUAAAAAAAUGUGUAUACCAACUAUGGUAAAGAAGGAAAUUUGAAAAAGAACGAAAAAGUUAUUUACCUCCAUCAACUUUUGUUGCAACAAAAAAUAAGAAUAGAACAAGAAUCGUAGCAUAAACAAACUUUAGAAUAUGAGCCAUAUUUUUUUUCAUUUUAGUAUGUAAAAAUAGAAUGUGAUUUGAUCUCUUUAUAUUGUAAAAAUUUCAUGAUCUCCUACAAAAAGUAUAUAGUUUUUAGCUCUUACGAAGUUGUAAAACCCCUUCAUAAAAUUAUAACUACUACAAAACAUCUCUUAUGUAUAUCAAGUGUGUUGUGUUUGUCCAUUGAGCACACGUAGAAAGGUGAUCACAUAGCAAACUUGUUAAUAAUAAAAAAAUAUUUUUUUUUUUUUAAUUUUCAUUAGAUUUCUAACCUUUCAAAAUAGUAAAGGGAAAUUUUAAUUUUUUAGACAAUGUAGAGUUAUUUGUUUGAAUAAUGCACCAUAAAGAUGAAAAAAUAUUUAUGCAUUGUAGGCUCAAUGUUUUUUGUUAAUAAUAAAAAUCAUUGAAUAAAAAAUAAUGCAUAUUUAAUUUUGCAAGUGCGUGAUAUUUAAAUUUAUGGACAAAGGUGCAACAGCAGGAACAUGAAUAGAACUAUUAUUAUUACGCUCCUCCUGAAUAACCAAAGAAUAUUCUUUGUUCAUGGAAGGAAAUGGAUCCAUCAAUGACGUUUAUGGAUUUUCAAAACUGUUGUAUUUAAAUUUUUAAAGUCUAUUUUGAAAAAGAAUCUUUAACAAGUUUUACAACACUAUCCAAAAUUGUGAAAGGAAGACUAUCAAUCCGCCGUCUCCCAGAUAAAAUAAGUUCAACUACAUUUAUGCAAUUAGCUACUGCACUAUAGCUAAUCAUUCAAGAAUUACACCUCCAACGAGAAUUUAAUACUGAAACCAAACAAUUAUGGUAAUAUGACCACUCUACUAUAGUAUUGUGACCGUUCAAAUAUAGUUUUACCACCAUUCUAACCCUUAACAUCUCCAACUAUCAAUAUGGUACUACAAUCACUCAAAUAUGGUGUUACCACAAUUUCCAAUCUCUAAAUUCUCCAAAGGAAGAAAAUAUCCAAAGGAUAUAUACUCUUAAGAUCUUUCUUACCUCUGAAGUUACAUUAUUAUUUCUCAAAAGGCUAAAAUAUGGUUUUAGUCCCUGCAAAUAUGUCUCGUUUUGGUUUUAGUUCCUGUAAAAAAAAAAAAAUGUUUUUGGUCCUUGCAAAAUUUUUUGUUUUUUAAAAUAGUCUCUCCAAGGACUAUUUUCAAAAAACAAAAAAUUUUGCAGGGACCUUUUUUAAAAACAAAAUAUUUUGCAGGGACCAAAAACUACAAAAUUGGUUCAGUUAUAUUGUGCCACGUAUGUAAAUCAUCACAAAAGUGGGGUCAGGGACUAUUUUCAAAAACAAAAAAUUUUGCAGGGACCAAAAACAAUUUUUUUUUUUACAGGGACUAAAACCAUAUUUUGGCCUUCUCAAAAUGACUAUCAUCUUAAAUUUCCUGUCUGAAUGCAUUAAAAGGGAAUGAUAAUUCAAUUGAUACUGAUGGCCAUAAUGUAUGGCAAUAUAUAGUUACAGACUGAUACACAGUAUAGAAAACUAACUCCUACUAUUAGUGGAGCGUAUCCUAGUAUCAAUGGAGCGUACAUUUGAAUGCUCCUGAUAUUGUGGAAUGACUAAUACAACUAACUAUGAUAUACAACACAUUUACAUAGUGAUAGGAAUUGCAGUUUAACCUUAACUAUAGGAGCUAACUUAUGUUUAUCUAAUAUGCAUUUCAUAUUUAAAUUAAAUUUAUCUAAUGAAGGAGAGGGACUGCCCACCCAUAUCAUGCUCUCAAGUUUUAAUUCUCAAAUUUAAUUUUGAUGUUUAGUAGUUUGUUUUGAUAAAACGAAUGCUUACAUAUAACUGUAUCUGCUAAAUGUUUAAUCGACCUUUUACAUGCAAAAUCUAUGGUACAGUUGAAAAUUUAAGUGCACAGAACACCAAAUAUUCAAAUUAAUGGCUAAAUUAGUUUUUUGAAAAAUAAAUUAUUGUUUUCAAUUAUUUACAAUUAUAAUAAUUAAAUUUUAUUUACUAAAAGUACCAGCAAAAUAAAAAUUAAUUUUUCUGAAUUUUUAUUACUAGAGAAUGUUGAUUAUAUUUUACAAUAAAAUGUAAAAAAAAAUUGUAUAAUUCUUAUAAACAAUGAAAUUAUACUAUUUUCGUAUGAAAUGAUAUUUUCUAAAAUAUAAAAGUCGAUAAAUAGGGUCUUUAGUUCAUAAAAAAAUUAUUGUUAAUUUAUGAAUUUAGAAAACAAGUGUAUCGGUACACUUUAAUUACGAGUGUGUUUUAGAGGGCCCCCUUUUACACCUUUUUACAGGCAAAUUUCCUUGGCACAAGAGUAAGUAGGUUCAUGAUUUUGUAACUGUAAGCGCCAGUAAUGUUGAUUUAACAAUGACAGGAAGUUUGACAAAAGUUGAAUCACCAUCUUUUAUGGUUGAGAUUGAGUUUAUUACUCCCAUAUUUUGUGAUAGUUGUUUGGUUUAAUGGUAAUUUAAAUCAAUGAGGUUUUAUUUUGAAAUUCAAAAUAAAUAGUAUCUCUCUCUUUUAAUUUUUGAAUGGUGGUUAAAAAGUUGAUUGUAACUAUAAAAGUAUGAAAAGUUGAAUGAAAAGAACAAUGUUCACUUUCUCAAAAAAGAUUAGUAUUGUUACCAUCAAGAGUACAAGAAAUGAAAAGACAGAGAGGCGAAAAUAGUUCCAUUAAAAAUCAAAGAUCAUAAUAUCAAGAUCCUUAAUAAAGUUUGCUUACAAGUUAAAGUUCAAAAUCCCUUCCAAUGUGAUGCAUUUUGGUGGGGACAUGGAGGUUCUCCAAGAUGUGGGUUGCAUUUGAUGUGUAUUGGAGUCAAAGAUCUCGGAUCAUUUAAUGUAGACAUGCUUGGUAAGCAUGGAUGGAAAUUUCAAACUGAAAGAACCAGUCUUGGUGUCGCAUUUGUUUAAGGCGGGUUGUUCUCCUGAUAGAGUGAUAGUGACUUAAUUUGGUUGAAGAUUGGUCAUAAUCUAAUUUACAUGUAGAGGAGUAUUUUCAGUGAGAAAAUUGUGUUGAAAAAUGAAGCUCGCUGGUGAAAUAUGUGAUAAUAUCUCUAUUUGGUGAACCUUGGUUGUCGAAUGGAAUUAGUUUAUUAGGGAGCAGCCCCGCUUUUGCACAGAUACAAAAUGUGAAGGUGAGUGUUAUUAUUGAUCGAUUAUUUGAUAAGCAAGUUUCGUCUUUAAUCCUCAACAUAUUGUUGCAUCACUAAAUAACGGAAGACGUGUUGGUUUGGAAAGUUGAAAAGUAUGGCAAUUACACGGUACAUAGUGGUUACAUAUUAUGUAUGUGUGUAAUAUUGCCGAUAAUUCACAUUGAGACGGUCUGGAUAAUGGGAAUGUAUUUUGAAACUUAAGUUCCUCCAAGGUAAAUAAUUUGGUGUGGCGUUUGUGCAAAAGUUGCUUCCCUACAUGAGAUUGCCUAAGUGGUAGAGGCAUGAACUUUCCCAUAGAAUGUGUUUUUUGCAACUAGAGUUACGAGGACAACAGUCACGUGUUAUUGGAAUGCCCAAGAGUUGAACAAGUUUGGCAAACAUCAAAUUUGUGGGAAGUAAUUGACAGUGUACUUCGGGAACAUUACAACAUGGAAUAUGUUUUUUUUUUUUGUUGUUAAAUAUUCUUCAUGCUUCUCAAUGUGAACGAUUUGUAGCCAUUCUGUAGAGUUUAUGGAAAAGCAGAAACUUAAAGCUUUGGCAACAUGUGGAUGAGUCCAAUGCUCAAAUUGAAAACUAGCUCAAAAGGUUAGGACAAGAAACACAAGUAUGUGCACUAAUGAUCGGUCAGAAUCGAGUAGUGCUAGAUGUCAAAGUUGGUCGAAACUUGCACCAGGAAGGUAUGAGUGUAAUGUAGAUGUGACAUUCUCUUCCUCUCGAUAAGGUAGGGAUUGACAUGUGCAUUCGGGAUGACUAAUGUUCUUUUGACAUAAUGCAAUAUUUAGUAUUAUUAAGGUAGUGUUUAAGGUUUCCUCAAUGAUGAAGAAUGUUGCAUAAGAUAGCAGAAUUUACUAUAGCAGAAUUUACUAAAGGAUGAUCUUAGAUUACUGUAGAAAGAAUAUGACAGAAGAAAAAGGUGGACAUUCUCACAUUGUUACAUAUACUAUGGUAGUAGUUUUGAUGUCCCACAUCGGAACAUCAAAAGAGAAAUACAUCAAAUGUCCAAACAUAAAAUUGAAGCCUAUCCUUGUAACCAUUCAAAGCUUCUUUUCUUCUACUACAUUUAAGAGCUUCUUUUCUAUUCCCACCAGCCAACUUAAAAAUUUGAUUCCUUCUUUUUAAAAGUUGGUUUUCUAAAUUUAUGUUGGUGGGGUGAAUGGAAAAGCAACUCUCUAAAUAUAUUUGUUGAGGGAAAAUCCUCUAAAUUUAUUUUUUAAAAUUUUGACUUAAUAAUUUCUUUCGUUGCCCUGUGACCGGUGCACCCAACCACAUUAAGUUCUAAAUUUCUAAUUCAAUUAAAAUUCAAAAUCAAAGUUAAGUAUAUUUUCGAGUAACAUGUGAAGAAUGGUGGGAUUAAAGGUCAAAUUUCAAGUUUCUUCCAAUGAUUUUUAAGAUUCAUGGUUUUGUAAGUUCUAGUAGCGUACAAAUCAAUGUUUUUAUUACUCCUACUAAGCAAGCAAGAUUUUUUUUUUAAAUGUCAGUGGCCAUAAUCUUGGUUGCGACAUCAAGUUUCCGUCCCUCUGCAAUCCUAAUGCGAUCGUGCGAUAGAAGUUGCAUAAACCACAUUUGGCUGCACUUCACUACACUAUAAAGAAUUGGUACACAACUGUUACCACAAUUUGAAACCUUGGAUCAACCAUGUGUCACCUCAUUAAUAUGUAGCUUGUAGUCCCUAUGAGACUUGCAACAUCAAUUAAUGGUUCAAUGCACAUAAGUUUGACAACAAUUUAGAUGGCUAACAUUGUUCAAUUACGUGGUUAAUUACGUUUAGUAAUGACUAAUGAAUAUAACAAGUUGUCGCAACUCAUUAACAAUUCAUUAAACACAAUUAACCACAUUUUUUUAGCGUCAUUAAACAUGGUUUUUCCAAUAUUAAAAUAUAUUAUAUCUAUUAACCAUGUAAAUUGUGAUGAAAAUAUCCAUGAUUUUGCUGCUUUUGUUGAAGACAGAUUCUACUAAGGUGUCUCCUUGUAAUAGGUAUGUUCCAUACUCCAAAGAUGCUAAGAAGAUGAAAUAAAGCAGCAAAGAUACAUAUAGUAGGGAGGGAUCAUAAGUUUGAUGUGGAAACUGAAAGAUACAAACCAGUGAUUAGUGGCGAGUUAAAAUGCGGCAAAAGACUUGAUUUGGGCGAGGAAAAACUGAUGGAAUCCAUAUUGGUUGUGGAAGGUGAGAGGCAGUGGAGGAAAUCCCAAAAGAUAGGGAAAGGAAACCUCCACAGCAGUUUGCAAAGUUGAGCCCCAUGAUAACAAGCUAAUAUUUGCUCUCUGAAGGAUUCAACAUAGUUGAUCUCUAGUAGAAGAAUGUUAAUGAAAAGAAAAAGAAAAAGAAAAAAAAAACUAUUCCAAAGUCAAAGACCCGCCACAAAUAAACUUUUUAAAUUUAACUUACAAAUGUCUAACUAAAACCGUAAACUUGAAAGCGCUCUGACUAAACGGCUAGUUUUACAGCACAAUGCUAUCCAAAAGUGAAAACAAAGUUUUACAGCAUAAAUGUUGUUGUCCGGGGCGGGGGGUGGCAGCGCCUCCAAGGAGGACGCAAUAAACAACAGAAUCACAUCAGACAAAAUUAAUUGCAGCUUCUACAAUUUCUUCCUCAAAUGGCUUAUCACACUGUUUUGUCUACUUAAAAUCAAAGCAUUACUUGUUCUCUGAACACUCCUUGAAUUCAAUUGAUGGACGCUGGAUAGCUUUCCUCCCGAAACCAUCACCAAAAGAUUCAAAUUCGAUUUCGUCAUCAUCACUGUCAACAGUCUCCGAAGUCACUCGAUUCUGAUAACUUCUUAGUUGAAUAAGAUAUACAUUGAAGUAAUAACUCACCAUGUCUUUUCUUGUCCUCUUUUGAAAGUAACUGGAUGGAUUGUUCCAAAAAGACUUGUUUUGGGAGGGGAUUUUUAGACUCAUUAUAUCCUUAAAUCUCUUUUCUUCAUCACCUGUCCAUUGAAGUGAAACUUCCUCGCCCAUUUUAUCAAAUCCCCAAUGGUAAAAUGCAGAACCAAAAUCAAACUUCAGCUUCAUCCUGUUUGAAGCAAAAUGAAAUCUUACACAGUCAACUGAACCUUGAACAUUGCAGCUACACUUUCCUCGUCUUCCUCUACCAAUAAGAUCUGUUUCUGUAGUAGGUCUUGAAUCAUCUUUAACAGGCCAUACUUGUGUGCCUAAAGAUUUAGAGUCACUCCCAUAAACUAUACCAGUCCAUUGUGGGACUUCCACUUGGAAAAGAGGACCAACAGAAACAUCACGAGAAUCAUCACUAAAUGGGUCGUAUUUUUU